CCACCACGACGUUCGUAACAAGAAUUUGCUGGGUGGGAGACGCGCGCCCGUACUUACCCUUUGCAUCCUAGUAUGACCGAUUCGAUCGGAUUAGCCCAUGCGCAAGCGAAUCAGCGGCGGCGAAAGCGCCACCACACCUAAUUAAGCGCUUGCAGAUUUGUCAUCUGCCAUAUCGCACCCAGAGGCACAUGACAUCGACCAGCGUACUCACCAACCGUUGCCGUUUCUCCUCGCGAACGAGCAUCGUAGGCGAAUUUCGGGCUGCAGCAGGUAGCAGAGCUUUACAGUAAUGCAGUGUAGGAGUACGUUUGCCACUUGCUGGAAUUCUUUUAGACAUUGACUAAGCAAUGAAAUGGACUAUGAACGCGGCGCCUUUUCUUUUCUCUUUUUUUUUUUAAAAAAAAACUCUUUUUUUGGUUGGAGUAUCAGGCGUAGGGUGAUGUGCCGAACAGUAUUUGGUAUUUCUUUCUUCCCAUCUUCUCCCGUGCGAUUUAUAUCUUCUAAAAAUACACUCCUUCCGUCCUAAAAUAAGUGUAAUUUUACACUAUUCACGUUCAACAUUUGACCGUUCGUCUUAUUUGAAUUUUUUUUAGAUUAAUAUUUUUAUUGCUAUUAGAUGAUAAAACAUGAAUAAUACUUUAUGUGUGACUAAAUAUUUUUAAAUUUUUUAAAUAAGACGGACGGUCAAAUAUUAGACACGAAUAUUUACGGCUGUACUUAUUUUGGGACGGAGUUAGUACAGAGUUGGGACUCGGAUAGCGAGUCGGAAGAUGCUCCUGUCUGGAUCAAUAGUACAAAACAUGGUCCCGGAAUUGCGUGCUACACGGUCAGAUAAAUGGUCCUAGCAGGCUCGGUCAGUUGCAGCUUGCUUUCUUUAAACCGGUUGAAUUCACCCAGAUACUUCUCAUUUUCAAUCAUUGCAAGCCAACUGACUUUGUAAAACUCUUGGUUUUAAAAUUUGCGGAGAAAAUCCUUUGCUAUACCGAUGAUCUCAAUUACUUACUUAGUAUUUGCAAGUUGUAAUUUGACUAAAACAACCAGCCAUCACUUCUUGUGACGGUGAAUUGUGCUCCAAACAAGAGUUAGAAAGAAAGGAGAAAAAAAAAAGGAGAAGUAACGAUCAGAACUGUACUACUGAUAGGAAUGCAAGUGGAUAGUUGCGUUAACCAUAUAAAAACUUAUUUGCUAGUUUAUUUUUCAUAUGGUAGUAUAAAAUUUAAAAGAAAAAAUAAACUAGAAGUAGGAUAAACGGGCUAAAAAACCCGCCUGCCCGCAUCGCUUAUAUUUCUAACUAUCUCUAACUACUGAGCGUGUCACCCACGGAAAAUUACAGUACUUUUGGCAUGGUUGGAACUGGAAAUAUAUGAACCAACCGAUAGAAAGAGAUAUAUGUGAUUGGUGCAACAAAACUAUAUUUUUUAUAAUGGCAAAACUAGAGUUGGAUACUUGGAUAUCAUGGUUUUCUAGAAAUUACACAUGUGUGCAAUUAUUUCUAAAAAAUGCAUAAAUCCACGUGCAGAAAAUCAUUCCGACCAAGAUCUAGUCAAAUGCAAAGAAAAAAUGCAAAGAAAACGGAUCCACUGAAACAUAAAAAACAAUCUAAUAGGAGUAGGAUAUAGCUACCAUAGUGAAAAAGCUAGACCGUCCAUGAAAUUGGUGAAGCUCAUAGUUCACCAGCUCACCGGUAGGGUUUCCUAAACCGCCGAGGUCGGGGUUACCACACCCCGGCGGUAAGUACGGCAGGGUUCGACUUACCGUCAGUAACCUUGCAGUUACCGGGUUUACCGUGGGGGUACGGUAAUAUAAAUACCGCGGUAACCUCCUUAAAUUUAAAUAAAUUUAAAAAAUAAUUUAAAUUAUUGAUAAAUUUUGCACGGUUUUUUACGGUUACCACGGUUAUUGCGCGGUAGUCACCGGUCGUGCGGUUCGAUCGAAGAACCGAUGCAUUUAUUUGGUGUGAAUAUUCUUUGUUAAAUUGUUAGCCAUGGUGCAAAAGCCAUUUAGCUCGCUUAGACGGUGAGCUGGUAGCUAAGCAACCAUGAUUCAAUUCCCUCGCACACUUUCUUUUUCAUUUAUUUGGUAAAAUUGACGCACGUGUAACUUGAGCCUAGUAGUCUUUCUAGCGUAAUCCAUGUGCUCGCUAGAACCGUCGAAAGCAAACCAGAGUUGGUUCCGGUUCAACCGCAUAGCCAUUGGUCUUGGUCGGUACGGUCAAUUUCCCAUUUCCCUAGUGACCCUGAGUGGCCGUUGAGCUUAUUGGCAAAAGCAAAUGCAAUUUUUGCAUUAUUUUAGGAAUCGAAAACGCCGUUUUCUUGAAAAGCAGUUUAAUAUUGUUAGACUUGCAUAGACUAAUUUUUAAUCCAAAUAUAUCACAUGAGUAGUAAUCACUGGUUUGAAACAUAUACAUUUCGGCCUCCUUGGAAUGUACGAAAAUUUUCCAAUUCGAAUCCGUUUCAAAAUAAAGCAACUUCUGCAUUCGUAAUUUAUCAUAGAUAUAACACAUUUUUCGAACUACUCCGAUCUUAACAAAUCACAAUCAUCAUUUAUUCAAUUUCUCUAUCUCUACCUACUCACCGAAAUCAAUCAUAAUUAUCUCUUAUUUAAUUUCACCUCUUAUUGAUUCUAUAAUUACUUAUAUCUAAAUUAUAAAAAUAAAGGGAGUUCUUUGCAAGAACUAACUAUCCAAUUUUUUCUCAUUCAAAUAUAGCAGAUGCAACACGCGCGGGUGUUAAUUGGCCUAACGUCCUAAACUGGACAACGCGCAUUGGGGCGUGUGUUGUGCAAGUUUUAACUAAGAGCAGGUACAACUAUUAGCUAGCUGUAAACAUAUUUUAAUGAGAUAAAGAAUGAGAGAGAAGAUCAGCGGGCUACAGAUCUGUAGCCAACUGCAACGCGGACUCCAAGACGCAGUGUGUGUAUGACAGGUGGGAUCAUAUAUUAAUAGAAUAGUAAGCAACUAUUGUGUGAAUUAACUAUUAGAUUGGCUAUAUAUGAAUUAGAGUUAGCAGUGACUAUCUCUUGUAACGAAUUCCACGCGCAUUCUCGGCCGAUUAGCCCCGCCAUGUGGCUGUGUGCGAUUCGAGGGUCUAGUUCGCGUGCGCGUCCGUUGGAUUAGGAAUCAACGGCAGAGAUGAUGCAAGGGAGUUUAGCGCGAUUCGCGAACCGUCUCCGGCCGUCCGGCGUCGGCCACCGCCGCUCCCGUCCCUCGUCGAUCCCUCUGUGCCUCCCCGGCCCCUCGCCGAUCCCCAUCCCUAAAAACCCUAGCCCACAGUGCCGCCAUCGUCACUUCAGCUCUCCUGCUCGUUCGCAUCUCGGUAGCCGAGCGUCGCCACCUCCUCCGAUCCUUGCCCCUUUGCUGCCCAUCGACCUCCCUCCUUGCCGAUGCGCUGGACCCGAUGGGCCGCGGUCGAGCUUGCUGGCGCAGCGCUCGAGUUGUACGUCCCACCUCCGCUCCAGUUCGCCCCCUCCACAUGUAAGUGCGCUACCUCCUCCUCCUCCUCGGCGAGCUAGCGGAUUUGGUUCGGAUUGCCAUGGCCUGACACAAGUUUUGCACGGUGUGGGUGGGGUGGCAGAGAAGCAGGGGAGCAGGUGCCGGCGACGCGGAUGGCAUGAGAGGAGACGGAGGCGUACGCGCGGGACUGGCCGGCAGUGGUAAGCAAGCUACAGUCUAUAGUCUGAUAUUUGUUCCAUUUAUUUCCCUGGACAUGAAGGAUGUGUGGUUGCUGAUUUGCAACGCAAACUGUGCAUUCAUGGUGUUCGAUGAAAUGACCAAAAAAGAGUAUAUUUCCUUAUUUCUUAGAGUUGCAGUUGAUUAGCACUCAGUUAGGAAUAUUUUGUUGGAUAGUAUAUUAAUUGCUCUAUUGCUACUACCACUUCUGCAGAAAUCCAGGAGAAACACGACUUGAAAUUGCAAAUUUUGAUGCUAAUUAAGUUGUCAUGUGAAACUCUAUAUGGAUUAUUAAUCUGUUAACUUAUGCAUUACUGAUUCCAUCAUAGCAGCAAUCGAAUUAUACAUGAGUUAGAGAUAUUAGUGUAUAUACAAUUAGCAUAAUCUGGAAUAGAAAUAGUAAUAAGCUAAAAAAACAUAAUCAGGAAUGGUUCUUGACAAAACUCAAGUUUGUUUUUUUUUUAUUUCUGAAUACCCUUUCUAAUAGCACUUAUAAUCAUGAAAAUGAUCCUGCACUGCAGCACUGGUACAUACUUUUUUUUUCUUUGGUCUCAAUCCUGCACAAUAGUUUCUUUACAGAGUUUUCCUCCUGACAAACGAAAAUAAAUCUAUAAAAGUGGCACAAUUUAGACAUUUGCAUCAUAAUUGGUUAGUGCCCUAAUUGCAAGUGUUCUACUCAAGGGAACAUCCUGAGUAUUAACUUAAGAAAUUCUGAAGUUGCGAUCGAUUGCAACUGUACAUGGUGACCACAUUCUUAAGUUAAUACAUCAUGAGUUUGUUAUAUUUCUUUCCACUUCUCUAAAUGUAUAAAAAAUAUAGUGUUCUCUGAACAUGCUUUUUUUGCAGUUAUCUGACAAAUAUAUAGAGAUGUAAUGUUUUCUGAAGACAUUUGUUUCUCUGUUUUGUUGGGUGGAUGUUAUCACUUUGAUGGGCCUAUCAACAAGUUAUUUCAUUAUCAUUUGAAUGCACCUAUAAUAAAAACUAACAAUUGGCAAACAACAGUUUUCCUUCAGAACUGGGGAUUGUUGUUUCAUUCUAAAAAUAAAAAUAGUCAUAGUCUCUUAUAGCUUUUGCUGCUUUGCCACUAGCCCACCAGGACGAUCUGGCUUUGCAAUGCUUAUGUCUCUUGCUCUUGAUCUCCUUCUAUCAGUCACUCUAGGUGCAGCUAAUUUCUGUUCGUCUCCUGACAUUUCUAGGGAUGCAAGAUAUCGAAGAUGAAAAUUGCUGCCGCGUGCUCGAAAUCAUCACCUCCGGCAUUUAAAUGUGUGAAAGACUGGUUCUUAAAUUUAUUUUUGCUUUCACUGUAACUACAUUGUUGUGCUUCUUCUUUGUUCCAUAGCUAGAAGCUAGACUGGAAACAACUGUGGCUGUUUCAGGCUUUUUUUUUAUCUUGGUGAAUUAAUGUAAAUAUAUUUAGUUAUGGUUAUAUCCGGUUUUCGAUGGUUUGUUCUUACAGGGCAAUAGUUACUAUUUUUAGCAGGAGUGCCAUAGGAGCUAAUUUAGCUAAACUUGUUGCAUCAGUUAAUAACACCAUCGAAUAUUUCAUUUGCCAACCUUUUAUAAACCUGAAUUUUGAAAACCAAUUGGAAAAUAUACACAGGCUAUAAUGAGCAGAGGCGCGCUAAUUUUCUAGUACUAUUAAACUUGCUCUAAAAUCUGCUGGCACACAGUACAGGCUACAGCAACACAGCAUGCAGCAAGCACCACGCAAUUAGUGAAUAAACAAGGACGUGCAAAAGGGAACUAGCCGAAGCAGCUUGAUUUGUUGACAGCGAAAAUCCUAUCAUAUAUGGGUAGAUGUAUUAGGUGUCAAGUAGCAUCCAAGUGUACAGCCCGAGCUGUGAGUUGCCACCUAAUCUUUUAUAACAACUUUUUGUAGGCUAAGCUUAGUCUUAUCGCGAGAAAUCUACUUAGCUCAAUCAGAAGCAUAGGUCGUUGUCCAAGUAUAUCGACAAUGUAAUUUAUCCCCACUAUCACUAAUUAAACAGAAAAUCGUGGGCUUUAAUUAUGAAGUUGAAGCAGCAGCCCGAGACCAGCCGUUCAAGAGAUCGGUAUUGACGGAGUGAGACAGCUCGCAAGGAUUAGAUUAGCUGAAGAGUAGGCAUCGAUUGUACGUACGUAUCUCUGCUUGUCUGACCGAACGUGUACUUGCCAUUGUUCCCUGACACUUUUCAGCUUUCAGGUAGAGAUGUCGAUGCAGAUUCUCUGGCCAAGAUUAUUUGUUAAUGAUGCAUGGGUUGUUGACCACCCUGAAGACCUGUGCAAAAUAUGGUCUUUGGUGUCUGAUGCACAUAUAAUUAAUACUGAUCAUGCAAUCCAUAUUCCGUGGCGUGAUGCGUUUGUUUCGUAGCUGGUCGUACCGUGCAAUGCGCUGCAGUAUGUGGAAACUGUCGGCCCGCACGUACAAAGCGCUACGUUUCAGGAAUCAUACGAAGCCCUUUUUCCCCAUUCUUUUAUUUAUCAGUUGGACACUUGGAGUCCAGAUUUGGUGAACCCAAUAAACCACAUGGAUGCGUGCUAUCCAUCUCAAAGUUUAAAAUUUGCUUUAAGUUCCCUGGUCAAGUUCAAUUUGCCCUGUGAUCUUGUCUGCAGGUAGGUUUCUGCCAUCCGGUACUAAAAACUGUAUUUAUCACAGUAACCUAGCUAGCUCCAGAUCGCUAACAGCUAAUCAGUAUCUUUCAGCCAUGGCAGGGACCAGAAUGCUCGCGCUCGUGCAGCCUUGCAGAUGCUCAUGCUCCCCGACUUACCAGUACGUACUCCAUACAUUAUUUGACCGAGGAAUGAUGAAGCGGUUCAGAUCGAUCCGAUCCAUUUUUUCCAUCCACGAAAAAAAAAAAGGGAAGAGCACACGCUAAUCCAUUUAGGAUGUCAAUGGAUCGGAUCGGACACGAGCAUAAAAGGAACACGGCUGAUCAAAGACCCAACAUCUUUAAUCCACGUUUGAUAUUCUUGAGGGGCAAAAUCAGUGCCCAUGCCCGACAGUCAGGCAGCCGAUGGGUAAUUAGUGAGCUUCUUUAUAACUUGAGUUAUAUUUUUUAUAGAUAAUUAAACAGAAAGGAACACGAUUAAUAACAAGCUAGAAACACAAAACUAGCUCAUAUACACGCGGAUAGAGACUAAGAAUGUAAGAACAUAUAAGAAGCACAAGACUACCUGCACCUUUAAUUGAUAUAGAUAGUACUGUACUAGGAUGAUGCACGAUAGAUGAUCAGAUAGCUCAAUUAAUUAGUAGAGUAUAGAACUGAAAAUCCUUUUAUCACUCGUUCAAAUAUGGUUCCUGGCACAAAAAAAAAAAGAACCGAAUAGGUAUUACUCUAGAUGGACUCAAAAUAAUUUGGCGAAGUGUUUGUUUCAAAACGGAAAGUGGUCGUCUGCUCUGCCAAACUCCGUCAAGGAAGGAGAGAGAUAGGUGAGGGGAGAGAGGGAGGGGGGGGGGGGAUAAUUGAGGGCAAAUCCAGCUAGAAUUCCAUUUUCACAUGAGCUGUGAGUAAAUGGGCCAAAAUUAGUACAAAUUAAUAUCGAAUCAGGUUUAGAUUAGCCAUGGGCAAAAUAAAUGCCCAUACACAUCCGCUAUGAUUUCAGGGCAAGGUUGGGUGUGUCCAGAAAAAAAGGUAAAUUGUAUUUUGGAUCAUCGUUUUAUUACUAAAGUUAAUAUACUCCAUCAGACUUGGACACGGGUAGUGCAUUGUUGUUUUUUCAACUAUGCUAAGGUCAAAUCUCCAACGCAAAUAUUUAGUCGUUAUUUUUUAACUGUAUAUUGAUAAGAAUGUUAAGAUGUAACGGAUUUUUAUGAUAAAUCUACUAAUACUAUUUUUUUAUAUAUCAGAUUAUAUUUCAUUAGAGUUAAGAUGUUGAAUUUUAACGGUGAUAAUUCCAAAAUGCACCUAUCUAACAACAUACCGUAGUAGGAGAAAGUAGUCUUCGGAAAAAUAAUGAAGAAAGUAACAACCGAUCGCGCUGAUUGCACCUUUUAGGCCUCCUUUGAUUCAUAGGAAAAAAUGGAGGAAAAACAUAGGAACAAGAAUCCUAUGGGAUUUGGUACUGUUCAUCCAUUUGAUUUGUAGGAAUUGAAGAUAGGAAAAGCAUGGGAAAAUUUCCUAUAACCAUGAUUUCAAGGGAAUUCCAUAGGAAAAUUAACAUCCACCUUGAGCUCAUUUUUCUUCUCCUAUGUGUAGGAUCGAGGCAAAACACUAUUGGAAGAUAAGGUUUACCCUAGUAAAACCAUUCAAAUUUUGAUUGCUAUUAACUUAAUACUCAACAUUCCUAUGUUUUUCCUUUGUACCAAUCAAACGAUCAUUCCUAUAAUUUUCAUAUGUUUUUCAAUCCUCUGUUUUGCAUAUGAUUUCCUACACUAUUCUUGAGUUUUUCCUAUUCCUACGUUCACUGAAUCGAACCAUUCCACAAGAGCAUCUGGUACAUGUCUCUGCAAACUAGCACUGUCCAUGACAACAACCUGUGCUGUGCGUGCAUGGAUCUCCCCAGAAAAAAAGAAAGAAAGAAAAGAAGCCCCUGCCCGCGGUAUCAGGUCCAGCAGGGCUGAUCGGAAUCAGCGGCUGGGUUUCACAUUCAUGGUUUCAUUUCGUUCAUCUGCCUGAAAGAAUGCCAGGAAAGUGAGAGCAGCAUGUGGGCUGAUGUGGCCGAAGGCAGAUGCAACAGGACUACAGGAGGGCGUACAUGUGGUCUAUCACCUCAGUCCUCAUAGAGGAAACCAUUGGUGCAUACUCCUCCAGAGUCCAGACCUGAGUACACAGGUGUACCGCGCGCCGCGCGCGCGCGUGGUGGCACCCAGGCCGGCACGACCGCACAGGCGCACAGCGCGAGCCACGCCAUCAUGGCUGCGAGCAGUCGAGCACCAACGACGUGAGGGUACGAGAGUACGUGAGACGAUCGCCCACGACAGCUGCGCCCCAACGAUAAACGGGCCCUACCGGCCUACCGGUGCUCGCGGCCGCGGAGCAGGGAGGUGGCUGCCGAGGCGGGCUGCGGACCGUACGCGGGUAACGCGCGCAAGGCUGCGCUUGCAACUGUGUCUGUGGCUGACCGAGGUCAAGGAGAUGGGCCUGGGCUAAGAAGCAUGGGCUUACAGAAGUGAUACCGACCUGGGCUGCGUGAGUCGUGUACAUUGGGGGGGGGGGGGGGGGGGGGGGACUGCUGGGAGUCUCUUUCGGUUGGUUGCUGCAGCUGCUGUCCCGCGCACAGUUCAGUACGAGGUGCAUCUGAACAGAGGUUCACGCGGAGUGUCACGAGACCGAUCAUGGAAUCAGUGGUCUGUUAAUUUCUUUUGAAAUUCACGAUUUUUCUCUCCUUCGUAUGGAAUAUCCGGUUUUACUAAGGGCUUCCACGUAAAAUAUCAGCUCAGAGAUACUGUUCAUGAGGGACCGAGAUCAAAUUACGGAUAAAUCGGAGGACUUUUUCGUAAAAUUUCCAACCCUAACAUUGUUCCUAUCCUACGUGGCAUCGCCCAGGAGUCGCCCCAUGCGCACCCCAUUUUGUUCUGUAAUAGCACAGUAUGGAGUCGCGACGUGGUCAGGCUACGGUUGGGACAAUAGAUUAAAUGGUUUUCAAUUCAUAUGCCUUUUAACAAGAAAAAUGCAUUCCAUAUAUCCAACUUCAGGGGGAAAAACAAUGAUAUACCAAUACUUGCACAUUUUCGAUUACAUAAAAAGAAGUACACCACAUACACAACAUUGUUUACAAAUAAUUCAAAAAAGUCCCGGGAAUUAAACAGAUUGUGGAGAUGAAAUUGUGGAUGCAUGCACCCCAUCCAUCAGCGUUGAAAUCCUGGUGGCCAUAAUACACUCACAUGGAUGCAUUUUUAAUACAAAAUUUUUUAUUUAUAGUUGGCUUUCUGUUUGUUUUUGUUUUAGAGGAUGUAUUCACACAUGUGUGGGCAUAAUGGUGUGCACACGCGUACACGUCUUCUGUAUAAUAGUGAUACAUUGAUGAUAAUAUUUAGAGGUGACAAUUUUCCUUUGAAAUUAGAUACCCAUCGUGUCCCCAUAUGGGGUGGGGUGAGUUUCCCACUUGCAGGUACAUGGGGUUGAAUGGUGUGUUCCACCCACACGUGACUCAUGGGCCCUAAAAUUAUUCAAGACAGGAGAUAAUGUUUACAAUUAAAAAAGGCCAUCAACCCAUUAAGCGAAUUCCAACAUGCUAUUAUUAUCAGUAUCAUUAUGCCUAAAUCCCAUACUCGUCAUCGUACAUUACUAACUACUUGGCUUCCUCGUACCCUGACAAGUUGCAGUCGGUAUGUUCUUGAGGCCUCUAUCCCAUGAUAUCCUCUCCCCAUUCUGAUGUAGCAAUAUCAGCAGCUGGUGUGUGCUCCUUCAACAUUAUAUCCGCCUUUAUCUUCUCUUCUUCCAUCCCAAUGUCGUGGCGGUCGACGCUCCCCCAAUACGACAACCGGUCUCUACCUUCUUCUUGGUAAAGUAAUGCCCCGAUAGCAGCUAGCCUUGGUAUUUUCUCCCUCCAUAUCGAUGUGGUGGCUACUGGCUACUAGUGCUCCACUAACGUGGUAGCCUCCCGGACGUCACCUUAUCUUCCCUGACAGGGCCCGGUCGAGGGUUAGGACCCACCGACCCUAGGGUCGUCGGGGGAGGAAUGAGAGGUCAAGGGUGAGGGGUGGAGCUGUCUUUCUCCAACCUAACCCAUCCUACCCUGUUAUUAACUCUAUUAAUAUCUGCCUUGCAGAUCCAAGGAAAAAAAAGGAGUGAAAAAACCAUUUUACUUCCCCAAACUCUUUCACCCGAUUACGUAAACCCCUAACUCAUUUUACCCCUAAAAUAUUAAAAAUGUUCCACUUUACUACUUAAUUGUAUUUCUCUUCUUUUUUUUUCUUUAUAUGAGACAUAUUUUAAGCUAAAAUUUUGUAGCCAUAGAUGACACCAUUAUUAAAGUUUUAUAAUAUUUUAAUUUUCUCAUGAUUAUUUGCUUGAAAUUUAAAACCCUGAUGUUUAAAUCAGCCCUAGUGCUUCUAACCUAUGUAAACAAUGUUAAUAAAAUUCUAAAAAUAUUAGGAGGCACUUCCUCUAUCAAAAAAUAAGUUAGCCUAAUACAAUAUAUAUCCUAGUACUACGAAUCUAAAUAUGAGCUUAAUUUAUUUUAACAUGGAGAGAGUAGGUUGUAAUGAAUCUAUCAAAAGUUCCAAAUUUUAUUGCAAAACACAACUUAUAUAUAGAGAAAAAAGAGAAAUACCGUUAAGGAGUAACGUGAAUCGUUUUCAAUAGUUCUGUCGAUAAAUGAACAGAGAAAUUGUUUAGGGGUUAGUGCUCCACGAAAAUAGUUCGGGGGUAAAAUGGAAUUUUUCAAAAGAAAAAUAUCCACGUUGCCAUAUGAACUUCCUUCUUCCUCGGCCGAUUGCUGGAUAAAACUGGCUGUUUCACUCGCAGAACUGGGUCGAAUCCUCUAAGAAAGAUCUGGGCCGAGGCGUUAGCCCGUGCCGCCCGCAGCCUCGCACCGUCGCGCCGACGUCGACCCAGCGACGACACCGGCAAGAAUCACAUGAGGCCGACCCACAAUUCUCGUAGGCCAACUUGGGUCGUGCCAAGAAAAUCGGUACAGCGUCGCGGCCUAGGCAAGGCCACCCCACCCGCAAACGCCGUGCCUCCUCUGCGACUGCACGGCCGCCGCUGGCGCCAACACCACCGACUGCCUAGCACUGCUGACUUGCCCCCAACCUCCUCAUCCAACUUCCAAGCCUGUCUGGGUGAGCGCGGCGCGUGCGACGGCACCGUGUGUACAUGUGCACCGGCUUCUCCGGCUGUGGGAUGAGUUCCACACCCCCAAUCAUAUGAGCGGAGAGCAGGGCAGAGAAGCCGAGCACGUACGCUAAUUCUCCCCCUAAUUCUGCGUCUUCCGGCUAGCAAAGCAGGAUCACCUGCUGGCUGCUGCCGAGCCGCUCCGCGACGGCGUUGCGGUAAAAGACGAGACGAGACGACAAAACGUAUUUAACAUAUUUGAGGUUCUGGAGCGGAGAGACAAAGCGUGGAAUAUUGAAGCGAAGAACUCGGUAUAGAUUAGUUUUCCAAUUGAAAAAUAGAUUAUCUGAACCCAUAUCGACUAGUACUAGUAUAUAAGCUGACUUGGCAAAGGCAUGCUUUCCUCUCCUCGCACGGAUAAAACGCAUGGGCCCCUAACCAAAACCUAACCCCUGGCAAGAAAACAAAAGGUGUCAACUCAUCCUAUGUGGCUACCAAAAAGGACAGGCCGACCAAAGAAAAAUAAAAUACAAAGGCGAUCACUAACACUAACUUUGGUGGAUGAAAUUAGGCCUCUUUUGGCACCAUAUCUGUUGGCAGCAGGGGGGGUUAAAGCAUAAACAGUACGGCAACAAGAUUCCACUUGAGCAGUCGACAACUCGAUAUUGCCCAGACGACUCCUUCACUUUCAAACGAUUUGCUACUAACUAGUAGGGUGCCCGUGCGUUGCUACGGGGAAUUUUGUUGAUCACGGAGGAUAAAAUCUGGCGUUGAAAAGACAAAUAUAGCAUCGUAAGGAAACUACAUUCAACAUAAUUUAAUUAGUGUUCAGAACAACUCGCUGACUAAAAUUUAAGGAGCAGGCAACAGUAAUGCUCAAACUCUUUACCUAAGAUGACUUCAUGGUUAUUACCAAAUGCAUGUACAACAUGCAAAAAACUUUACAAGUGGUUUGACAAACUGAAAUUUGCAAUUAAAUAAAAUAGCCAGUUGAGCAAAACAUAUUAAUCCCUGACCUAAUCUGAAUCCGAAGCUCCUUUCACAUGGAGCAAAUUACUGAUCAAAUGUGCUCCGUUACAAAUCAGUACUCACAGUUCCUGGCUCCUGCUUACGUCCUCACACAAAACUUAACACUCACUGAAGACCUGCAUAUUAUAUGAAUAUUCAUGUUUCUUGAUUCUAAAAAUAAAGACAUCACUGAUUUGACUCUCUUGCUAGAAACAUCAAAUAGUUUGGCAGAAGUGAGCUUAGCAUGAGCAGGGAAAACUCAUACCAAAAUAAUGAUAGAAACAAAAAUUGUAUAAUUUUUUUCUUUGAUAAAGAUCAAAGUUUUAUUUGAUAUAGUAAUAGGCUAAUAGCAUGAGCUCAAAUGUUGGCUUUCAGUUCAGAUGAUCUCCACUCAAGUGUUAUUCAGUACCCCACUGGAAACUGGACUGCCACAACAUGAUUACAAGAAAUGCUAAACUGCAAUUGGAAAUCUGAACUAAAGCAGAACCUCAUAAAUCUGCUAACAUCAGUACUAAGCUGCAAGACAUGUACAAACCAACUACGAUUGUUUUAAAAAAGAAGAAGAAAUAACUGUCAGCUUACAAGUAAGGACUUCAUCUUGAAUUUGUUCAUAACAGUGAAUUGCUUCAUCCUGGACCUGGCUGCUUCUCUCCUAUUAGCAAAGAAUAAGAAAUAAUGAGCAAGGGAAGAGCUGCCAGGGUGGUUCACCAAGGACUGAUAGAAAAAUAUCUUUACCUGAUCACCUGCAACUCCUCGGCGAGCAGCCGACUACAACGGUUUUGGUCUCUGAGUCAGCCAUAACGAGGAGGCGGCCGGAGGGACUGCUCGGGGAAGGAGUGGAUGUAGGCAUAUACAGGAGAAGGGGCAGACCAAGAAAGUAAAUGUUUACUGCUGUCCAAGGAAAAAAACUCAAGAAAUGUUAGACAUGGAAUAUAAAAAUUACAGUAAGAAUGGAAUUUAAGCAAGCAUAUUGUGGACGGUUAAUUAGUCACAUAAUAUACCUUUUCUAAUCUGUGAGGACCUCUCUAUACACAAUAUUUUUUGUGUAUGUUGCAGCUUGUUUAGACAAUUCCUUUCCUUUCUUCUCAUUGUCCUUCACGCCAGUACGCUUAGACUUUUUCUUUUGUUUCUUGUCUUCUACCGGCAUCGAUAGUAUUUUUAUGUUUGUUCUAGAGGUUGCUCUUGACAGUGCAACGUAUAGUUGACCAUGGGAGAAGACAGGCUCUGGUAAGUAGACGCCUGCAUUUGGAAUUGUUUGACCCUGCGCCUUAUUGAUGGUCAAUGCAAAGCUCAAUCUAACCGGAAAUUGCUUCCUCUUGAAGCGAAAUGGGAACAUCUCAUCAUCAGAAGGACAUAGAGGUAUCCGAGGAAGGAAAACUCUCUUUCCAGCAUGCUGCCCUACAACAAUCUCCGCGUCAAUAGCAUUUUUUCCGAACUGACGAACCACCAGCCUUGUCCCAUUGCAAAGUCCGUUGGCUGUUGGCUGGGUCAAUGUUCCUCAAAAGCAUGAUGGGGCAGUUUAUCUUCAGCUUAAGCAGAUGCGGAGGUAGCCCAUUUGGAGUUAGAGAGUUCAAGAAUUUUGGCGGGUAAUAGUUAUGAGGGUCAUCCUCUGCUCAGUCAAAACUAUGAUAUGUCAUCACAUCUCCUCUAAACCGCUCAAUCAUCUUCAUGUUUAUUCGAUCGACGAACUCAUUCCGAGUGGACAAUAUGGCCCUACAUAUGAUGUAGUUUGGGUCCGUCAGGUUAUCGUUUAGGUUAGGGAACACGGUAUCGAUGAGCCUUUCGAGGUCCGUUUCAUUCCCUUUGCACUCUAAGCAAAUAUCCGAAGGAAGGCCUAUGUUUCCUUCCUUGUUCACCUCCUCGGUUCCAUUCCCAACUCGAAGGAGGUAGUCCGCAAACCACGCGUCGCUCUGCGCCCUCAUAUUGCGAACAAGCUUUAAUUGAACCAUACAAUCCCAAAGAUAGGACCUGCGUAGAGUGGCUUCUGUUAUCUGAGACCUAGUGCCCUUCCUAAUGACCGGGAGCACCUGCCUGAAAUCCCCUCCAAACACAAUCGUCUUCCCUCCAAACGGAGAACGUGGACAACCCAUUAUAUCUCUCAUGCUCAUAUCGAGGGCCUCAACCGCUUGCCUCUUUGUCAUGGAGGCCUCAUCCCAUAUUAUAAGCGAUGCCAUCUGGAGAAGCUUUGCCGUCCCACUUUGUUUGGUGAAGCUGCAAUACGACCCUUCCUCAAUGUUGAGUGGGAUCUUGAACCGCGAAUGUGCGGUCCGGCCUGCUGGCAUUAUAGAAGCUGCAACACCCGACGUCGCGGUUGCCACCUCUAUAUCACCAUUGCCACGCACUGUAGCUAGUAGCGCCCUAUAUAGGAAAGUCUUCCCCGUGCCUCCUGGGCCAUCUACGAAGAACACGCUCCCCUGAGCACUACCAACCGCGUUCAUGAUUUUAUUGAAUGCAGACCUUUGCUCAUCAUUGAGCUGGUCUGGGAGGUUCAUAUCAUCUCUCUCCACAACAAUGGAAGACUCCUCAAUAAUCUCUCUGGGAUCUCCUCGAGUACUAUCAUGUGAUUCAUCUAUUUCAGGGAGCGGGAACGAUGAGAUUUCCUUACCCAUUGAUUGUAGCAUGCCCCGGAUAUCUAUCAGCACCAUCUGUUGGACAGCAUAAGGGCAUGCGUUGUUACAUCUGACAUGGAAUCUAGAUGCUUGUCCCAAAGUGCACGGACAUCGGUAGGUUCGCAGUACACCAAUAUGGUAGCGAAUAACCUGCGUAGCGACGCCGGCAUUUGGUAGACACCGGCCUCCGUAAGGCACUCGUCGAGGGUGUUGUCUGCCUCUAUAAGACCCCUUCUUUCAGCUGCAGCACGGAACGACGGCAUGAGCACACCAUCAACAGUACGUAGGUCUUCAAAUGAGGUGGAUCCUGUCACAUGGUUUAGAAGCACCCGAAGAUAGUAGCGCUCCCCCUCUGCCGGGUGGGCACACACAAUUCUCCCGACCUGGCCACCUCUAUCUCUUUUCUUCCAGUACUUACCUGGCGUCUGCCAAGUAAACCACAUUGGGAAAUCUCUAUAAAGGAUAUCUCGAGCCUAGACAUGCUGCCUGUUAGCCUCGAAAUACGCCGUAAGCAUCGAUCUGCCUGCGUCUUCCUUAUCCAGAACAUCACGGAGAUCCUUGUCUGCAUCGAAAGCCAACAUGUGCAUGUUUGGCAGAUGCAAUUGCAACUGCCUCACAGACGGCGAGAUGUGGCAUAUGUCAAAACCAUAUAUACGCCACAAGGCUUCUGGAGGGGUCACCCACCUCGCAUCCCUGUAGCGCUGAAUCUCAUCGAUUUCACCGUUUUUAUCUGCCUCGUUUAUGGAUAUCGAGGCCUUGUCAUGUCCCUUGUAAAGGUAUUUAAAGAGGUACUUUACUGCCUUGAUGCUCGAGCAAAUCUCGACAUUCAUGUGACAGUUGUACAUCCGUAGAAGAUAAGGAUUGUACGGGACAACCCACCUGUUAUCGAGAGGAUGUCCUCUAACCACCUUACUCUUACUGUCAUUACGUCUCCUAUACAACGGGUAUGAAUCCUUGCCUUGCGAGGUUGUGGUGUUGAACUCUCGUAGGUAGUUGUUCCUGCACUUUCCAUCUCGCAUGCAUUGGCACCUACCGUUGAGUCGACCACAAGGGCCAUGCAUCAUAUGCUUGACAACCAUAUUGUAUAGCUCUGGAUAUUUUUUCUUGUCCGGUAGCUCAGCUGAGACGAUGCGGUCAUAUUGCUCUGCAGACGUUAGCUUGUAUCGACCACUCAUGAUCAGCAAAAAGUGUGCGUGUGGCAGACCCCUCUUCUGGAACUCAACAACAUAUACGUGUGCAAUGACUUUGCCAAGGAUGUGCUUCUCGAACAGCUGCUUCUUUAGGUCCUCUAACUUGGCUCGAAAGACACGGACCACGAGAUCAAGACGAUCUUGUGGUGUCUGGCCAGGCUCAAGUUCACGAGUAAUCUCAUCCUACUUGGGGUUGCUAGUCAUUGUAAGGAAUACAUCUGGCUUCCCGUACUUCUAUACUAAAGCCAUGGCAUCCAUGUAUCGACGCUUCAUAUUUCGGCCACCACAGACAAACAAAGCUGGCAACACAGUUCUUUUGCCAACCGCGCUUGCUCGACUCUCCCCAGCCUGGAUGCUAUCCAUCAACCCUUGAUACAGGUCCGCCCUUAUCUCCUUCUGGUUGUUCCUCACAUAGUCUAGACGGGAGCUCUCAACCUUGAUGUACAUGUCAACGGCAAACUGCUGGAACAGGAGUCCGCCGUGAAGUAUAGGAUUGAAAAUCCCACGACGCAUCUGGAAUUUAUAGCAGUAGUAGUCCCUUACAGAGACUCGUAUCCUGCUGUUACAAUCUACACGUGAGAAACAUCUAGGUUAGUACAGUCAUGUAACGCACAAUGAUCAAUUCUCUAAGGCAACAUAGUACGAAGAUAAACUUACCAGGAUCAUCGCCAUUCCGUGCGUUUGCAUCCUCCAUGGUUAUUUUGUCCUUUGGAAGGCUUUGAUGCCAACCAUUCUCUCUAGGGAAGAAAAGAGGGUACGAGAGGGGAUCAUAACAUUCGUAGAAAGGCUGGAUAGAUUUCCGCGUACGGUUGUUCCUGUAUAUUGUCACGCUAGGCUCGAACUUCCUUCUCUCAUUUCCCUCAACCCAGAUAGCAGCGACCUCAGUUGUCACCGGCACAUUGUAACGCCUUUGGUGCAACCUAUGAUCCAGAUUUAGUGUCACGCGAUAAUUCGCGAGGUCUUCAGCCUGCCCUAGACUUCUAAAUGUCUCCGAGUACGGGUUGUUCCGAAGGACGUCUGCAACAGUCCUAAUCACAUCCUGGUCAAGGCUAGGGGAACGUUGGAAUCUAUGACUCAAUGUUGGAUCGUCAUCGUAGAAAUACAACUCGAGAUGCUCUGGACCAGAAUCUCUAGGACUGAAAGAAUGUAUAUUAUGAUAUAUCUGACCAUGAGCCCGAAAAGUGUACACGCCCGAACUCAUGUUUGCAAAGGCCUUGUCAAGGCUUACACCAAGGGUAGUGAAUGAGAAGUGGCCGUUGAAGUAUCUAUUGUUAUCACGGAAAUGCUUGGCGUCUGGAUCCGAGCUUGUCCAAAGCCUCAUCAGUUCAGGAGGUGUUUCAUUUUGUACAAGCUUGAUCUUGCCACCCCGACAACAGAAGCUCGGCGGUUCGUACUGGAACCUCUUGGCACCACAGUGUUUACAGUCAGGUUCAGGCUUCAGAACAUUUGUGCUUUGUGGAAUGUUGCUGUACAUAUAGUCAUACGGAUCAGGAACAGAAGAGGUCGGUGAUUGCGUGUCAUCGUCAUCAGAUUGUACCAUCUCGUCAUCCUCAUCGUCGCCUGGUAUGGUUUAGCGCAAAGGAUUUAUAGUCCGCAAAAAUUAUACAUGUGAAAGAGACAUUAAGAUAUCACGACGACGAUACCUAGCCCAGCAAACAUGUAGUAUUCAUCGUCGGAGUCAUCAUCCAUGAAGGAAUCCAUAUCAUCUUUAGUACAAUGAGAUAUGAGAAGUUAGUAUGCGGAAGGGUACAAAUUAUAGGGGAAUUUAACUAAUUGCCACUUUUAGGUUUGGCAGUUAUCCAAAUUCCCUUGUUACGUUUCUUAACUAAUUGGCACUUUUGCCAUGGAUUGCCACAUGGCCAACAGUGACAAAUAGUUAAGAAGCCACCAUCUAAGAGGGGCAAAAAAUUAAGAGCAAACUUAAGAAGGGCAUUUGGAUAGUUGCCAAAUCUAAAAGUGGAAUAUAGUUAAAUUCCCCCAAAUUGCGAGUACGAAUGAAAACAUAUAUAGAUGAUACCAUCAUUGAAUGUGCAUGAUCGCGCCUGAUGAUCUACAGCAUGCUCAGUUUGCAGGCUCGAUGUAGAUGGCACAUCACCGGUUGUUUCCAAGCAAGGCGUUGGAUUUAGCAACAAUGGGAUAGAUCCCUCAGGGCACUCUAGUGCAAUGGAUUCAGCGCAUGGUUUGUCACGCCUAGCUGCAUAGAGUGCGUUACGUCGUGCCAGAUGAGCAGAUCUUUCCCCAGGAGUAACAUUUUGUCGUCUUGAUCUACGGCAAGCAUUCAUAUCAUGGAUUUCCACAUCUGGCAUAGAUUGCCUUGCAACCCUACGACGGGCAUUCAACUCUAGUCUCUGUUCUUUUGUUAGUGAUUGACGUUGUGUUCUCCGUUGGUCCACCUUAGCUUGCUUUUGCUCCGGUGUAAGAGUUGCAUACUUCUCCCUAGCUCGAGCUAGCUUUGACUGCAAUCGUUCUUUUGUCUCAUUGGUUGGCGCACGCACCAAUUCAUUAUCUAGUGAUGUGCCAACAUCAUCAUGAGUAGAUUUAUGGGAUUGUUUGCUCACUUCAAAUAUUAAAUUGUACAAACAUGAAUAGAUAAUAAUAACUAACUUAGCGCACUUCUCAUAUGUAAGCAAAGAGGUUUUAUGUUUGACAAGUUUAUAUAAAAAAAACAUGUGAUGAAGUAAAAUGUGUUACCUAGAGAGAUGUCGUCAUCGUGGUCGCACUCAUUUUGAUCGCUGCCUUCAAAAAAACUGGAUUCAUAUUGAUUUUCACAUCCUGUUGUAACAUAGUCAGUAAUAUAUAUUGUAAUAUAGAAAUUUAUAAAUGGCAACAGCAUUGUAAUCCCAUUAAUAAAAAGAUAUUAGCAUACCUGAAUUAUCAACUACAAAGUCAGAAGUAUUCAUGUUUAGGUACUUUGAGUGAAGCGACUCAUUGGUACUUCGUUGGGACCAUAGUGAGCUACAUUGUUGAUGAUUGUAAAUGGGAGACGUCUUGGUGUGAUAUUAAGAUGGGAAGCUUCACUUUCUAUUUAAACAUAGAACUAUCAAUUUCCAUUCAGUCGAAUAAUAUAUUGUUCAACCAAACUGUACAAACAAUAAAGACAUUACUUCCUUGAUGCAGCGGGGAAGAAUCAGUCACUUCCAAUUGGCACUUCAUUAUAUCAACAGCGCUUAUAUUUGAAAUAUCGCCAAGUGGGGCUGUUCACACGACGAGAAUUUAUAAUAUUGUUUCGCAUAAUUGGCCAGACAUAUUUUAAUUUGUACAGAUAAAUAUUACAGUUGUACCUGAAACUUGAGUUUCCUCCUUCUUUCUUUUCCUUCUUUCACGUGCCUUCUUGUUCCUAUCAUCUUUUUGCUCUGGGGUCAAUGCUGCGUACCGGUCUCUAGCACGCUUUCUUUUUAGUUCAGCCACACUAAGGUGACUAACAUCUUCAUGCAAACCUGUACACAUAUGCACAUUGCUGGGUGUAUUGAAGGACGCAUCGCGGUUUUCCGCACAUGGAUGACUAUUAGGCGUCACCACAGGAUGCACAACUUCAUGGCCAGCAUCACAAGUUUAUACUCAUCACAUUGGUGUUGGUGGAUACAGAUUGAGAUUGAAUUAAAAUAGGAAACAAGCAAUAUGUAAAAGAUACCAUUUGAAGCAGUUGGGAGUGUUAUUUGUAAAGACAUCACAAUUCUCGUCGUAUCUUUCAACGGCACGUAACGACUUGUUUCCAACCUUGCCCCGUCAAUUUGCCAAACCGGAACCACUUAUAUUGGUUAUGUCAGCAAGAGGGCCUAAGAAAGGAACACAUGGGUGAAAUUAGCAUGCAAAGAGUUUACAUUCGAGUUAAUAACAUGCACAUAGCUAACCUGAUUUUGUAGUUGAUGUUGUGGAGCCCCCAACAAUCUUAUCCAUUUCUGAAAAACAAAACACAUCAGACCGCCUAAAUGCAGUAAUCACACUUCAUUGAGUCUGGAUGUUUUCAUCAGUAACUUCACAACUCAGACACAGACAUGUAAAACCAGUAACUUCACAACUCAGAUAUAUAUCGUUGGAGAGUGUAAUAUUCCUAGAGUGAUGGCAGUGAAAAGUAAUAGGAGAUAUUUACUGAAUCCAAUAUAAAACAUGUGUGGCAGUAACAGACAUAUAUUUGGUGCAUAUGUUAAAAAAUAAAUUAAUCAGAGACAUGACAUCCCACAAGAAGCAUCAGUUUAUAAACUGUAAAACCAGGUUAUAUACUACCUGAAAUUAAAGCAACAAAAUUGGAUUUUCUCGGGGAAAGUGAACAUUAGGGGUUAAAAUUUACCUAGAAAGGAUAUAUAUAGAGAGGUGCAGCACUAAAAACACCAGGAUGGCUGUAGCCUACAAGAAGAUAAAUUAGACAUAGAAUGAGAAAACAGAGAAUGAAACAGCAGUGAGCUAGCCUAGACAGUGCUGAUUCUUCUUAAUUGAUCUCACACUGCACCCCGAGAGAAGAAUAUGGCGAUCUGGGGGGAGGGGGAACCUUGCAAUUAACGAAGGAAUGGGAAGGGGAGGGAGAGAUGUUUACCUGGCUAGCGGCGUGGGGGCGAGGAGGCGCGAAGGGGACCAGACGACGAGUAAUCGACGACGACUUGUUGGAAACCCAAUGUAAGAAAUUCAAUCAAAUGCUGAAAAAUUAAAUGAUAAAUUAUAAAUCAGAGAAACCCAGUGUAAGAUGAAGCUUCAUUCUGAAAUGCAAUAAAAAGGGAUUGCCUUCAUGAUAAGCAAAAUGUAUAUAACAGUAUCUGACCAACCGGUACGUCCUAUCACUAAACAUAAACCAAAUGUACCUUAUCCUAUCCUAUCCAACAGCCACCAAAAUUUCAAUCCCCUAAAAUAUUCACCCAUAUAGAUGUGGGGAAGAUGAGGCCACCGGCGUGAAGGAUCGACUCACAAACCAAAUGAAACUUAUCCUAUCCUAUCCAACAAUCACCCAAAAUUCAAUCCCCUAAAUAUUCACCCAUACAGAUGUGGGGAAGAUGAGGCCACCGGCGUGAAGGAUUGACUCACAGGCGGACGAGGGUGCAAAGAAGAGCCUCCAAGUAAUGCAUAAUGCAUAAUAAUAUGGUAUAUAAUGCAUAUAUCCAUGACACACAAAAUAAUUCACAAUGGCGUUGAUAUCAAUAUUUAUUACAUAUAUUUACACUGUUUCUCAUCGAGAUUGAUACUUCUUAAUUGUAAUUUGUGAGAAUGUUGUACCAUAGGAUAUCAAACAUCUAGUAUUUGCCCCCAUUUAAUAUUUGCUUUCUCUAAUCUGAUAGCCCAAAAAAAAAAACUGCCAGGAUCCCACAUAAUAACACAUUUACUCCUCUUCGAUGCAUGUGGCCAGAUCCUUAUAUUGGUUCAAAAUUACUUUCAGGAUAACAGAGGGAAAUUAUCAGUGUUUUUUCACCAUCCAUGUGUGUACUGACGUUGUGACUCUCAGAGCAAACCUCUUGCUAUUGUGUGUUAUGCAUCACCACGCAAUGCAGACUGAACUGGAGUUCUUUUUUUUGUUUUGAGAAAUUCAUCGACACUGACGUAUACUUAAAAUUCUCGUGCCAUUUGCAAAGCGGAAAUUUCAAACCAGGAAAAGAAGACUAAUUUAAAUGAGACACACACACCUGAAACACUGAUCUGAUGUUGAGGAGGCCGGAAGCUGGCAGCAAUAUUCUGAAGUUAAAUUCAACUGCAAUAUAGGAACGUCAGCACAUCUACUGUCAGAAAAUUAGAUGAGUCAAUCUGUAAUUGUUGUCAUACAGAUUUAGUUUAUUAGCAUCUAAUAAGUAUUGGAUGUGACUCAACAGAAAAGUGAUUACAUCGGAUGCAAAAGCUGAAGAGCAAUUUGAAGUGUCAUUAGUCAUUACCUGUUAUUAGAUACAAAUCAUGAGUUUAGGGAUCCCAACAGCGUUGUCCAUUGCUGUAGGCCAAGGCGUGGAGAUCAAUAACCACCUGCACACAUACAGUAGCAUAUAGUUUAAAAGAAUACGGAUCGAUUGCUAGAUUCCACAGCCUCAGCCGUGCCGUGGGACCGAGAAAGGAUCAGUGGCAGUGAGAAGCAGUCACCGUGUAAGGCGUCGGCGGCGUCCUGGCGACGGGUACCCUGACAAAACAUGCCGUUGCCAGCUGUCGAACUCCAAAUUAGGUGCUUACAAUUUACAAGAUCAAAACUGAUUGCUCUAUCGGAACUAUGGACAGCACAAAAUAAUCCGUCAGUGGUUGUUAAAAUGCAUUUUACUGGGUUAAAGAAGCCGAUGCUGGAUGAGCAGGGUGUGAUUCACUAUAUCAUUGGGGAUUUUGACACUGGAUUCUAAAGUUUUUCCAUGAACAGAGUGGCAGAUUGUUUCUGCGGCAUUCAAUCGAACACCUCAUGUGCAUGGGCAAAAUAGCUUUACUCGUUCAUCGCAAUCAAAAUCAAUUGGGUAGUAUAAGUCAAAAUAGUUUGCUCAUCACAAUCAAAAUCAAAUCGGAAGGGAGAAGAGAUUGAAAGACAACAAAAGAGAAAACUUGCCGUACAGCUCUACUGGCCUCAAACCACCUCUCCGCUCGGUCUCGGCAUUGUAGCGGCGUGAAUCCCUUUCCUCAGGCGCUCGGGAAGAUGAUGUCGAUGACCGCGGCGGAGGUGGCGGCUGAGGGGAUAAGCGUCGAAGCAGAGGAGGCGGGGCGGCGGGCGAUAUAGCGCGGAGGCGACCACGAGAAGAUGGAUGAAACAGCGAUGGGGGAGGUGGCGCGGGUGUGGGAGAUCGGCUUGGGGUGGGGGGGGGGGGGCGACGACGACUCAGGCGACUCCGGAUCGGUGGCGGCGAAGCCGUCGGCACACGCGGAGGCGGUCGACAAGUCGGAGAUUGGGGGCGGCGCGGAGGACACCGGCGAGGUGGGAGACGGCGCGGGCGGCGAUUAGGGUGCGGGCGUGCGGCGUUGGAGGUUGUUGAGGGGGAGAGAAACGCUAAAAAAAAACAGGGUGUGCGAACGAUGGGGAUGCGGAUGCGGGGGCAUGCAAACGACGGGAAAGACGAUAUGAGCCGUUGGAUUUAGCGAUCGGAUGGCUCAUACUCCGCGUGUCUGCCAGUGUUGGAGUCACCGCCACCACUAUAGAAUUUUAAAAUAGCAGAGAUAGAGCACUUGCCCACACCCUAUACAGUAUGCCACUAACUUUUAACUUGCUGUUUCUGGCUUUCAUUCGGUGACGGACGGCAUGAUGCAUGCAUGUGACCCUUACUUCGCUAAUGAUUUUCAGGCAGUUCUUAGAUCAGCUUUGCAUUCCACUUGGUUAAUCUGCAAGACUACAAGAGGGUUUAAUCUGCAGGUUAGGUCUUCUACUUGCUAGAGGGUAGGAGAAGGCUCUGAUUUAAUAUUACAAGUUUUUAGAGGUGGGGUCUUCCUCAGCUCAUUUGACAUCACGAUGUUCCAAUUAAAUUGGCAUUUUCACCGCACAACGCCGGCCACAGGCCGCAAAUGCUCUCCAUUGAAUAAUCCCAAACUUUGUGUUGCGCCGCGCAGCGCGUGCUUUGCUUUGUCAUCAAAAUUUUCUGAAAUUUAUCAACUUCCCGUCUCAAUCGUCAGAGUAUACUACUAAUAUAACAGCCACAGGACAAUAACUCUGUCUUGUUCGAUUGGUCUUCCGCUUUUUGUUCUUACUUUCGGUAAACAAAUGAUUUGUCUCCAAAGAUCUGGUAUGGGUUAAUCUGGCCCUUUUCUUGGAGUCGGAGGCCAUGGUUUCUGACUAUCGGGGUGGUUUUGCCCCUAAUCCGGUUAUUAGUUGUCUCCCAUGUCUUGCAGUGUAAAUGUUUCUCAUCUGAAAAUCGGGUGAUUGUUUACAACAACCGUGAUGGUGAGUUCUUUAUUAGUAGUAAUUAAUUAUUAGCUGCUGUCUAGGUAGCCCAAGAGCGACCUGUGAAUCUAUGAUUAGUUGUUGUUUGAUGGUUAAGCUCUGCCAAUGGUAGAGUUUUCGUAGAGGAGAGGGCAGCCGUCUAUUAACUAUAUUCAAUAGGAGUACAUCUCCUUUUAGCACUAACCUUAGUACAGUACCUCGAAAGUAAAAUCAAAUUUUGGAUCUAAAAAUAUAAUAAUUAGAUCCUGAGAUAACGAAAUCCAAGCAAAUCAAAUCAAACUCAGGUUUGUAGGCGUACUUAAAGGAAGUUGCACCGGCCUAUUCCACAUGAGAACAAUAUCUCGGUUGCACACAAGGGAUGCGUGAGUUCUUGCCACUCACGAAAGCAAUUCUUUGGACCCCAUAAAACAAGCAUCUUUCAACAUCUUCACCUAAUCUUUGGCCAUAAUCUUUCGUUCGCUUGUUUUGAUUUAACCGUAUAUGAAUAAUUAUUCUUGUGCCUCAAAACCAUCCACCCAGGUCGGCAUAAUCUGUUGAUGUCUCAUCAUUUGUUGGUGGAGCAGAAGAAGAAAGGAGUUUUAGAUGUAGCCUCUGCAUGCAAACCUCAAAUAUUCAGUCUGACACGAACCUACAACUCAUUAAGUUAUUUUAAUCUAACUAUAUUCGCUUUGUUCUUCUCUGGUUUCUUGGUUUAUGUUGGUUUGGGGAGGCAGUUAAGUGUUGCCGUCAUCUGCUAGAGGGACUUGCACACUAUUAUUAGGGAUGAGAAAUGAUGCACCAGGACUUCCGAUUGACUCUGCAUCACCGUGAAGCCGAGGCCUAAGCAACACAAAUUAAUGCUCUUUUCAAUUAUUGAGCUGUAUAACUCCAAAUAAUUGAGUAUCCAAGCAAGCGAUUGUUGGUCAAUUGAUCGACCUCUGGAUAAGAGUCUAGAAGAAAAAACGGGAAACUAAUUAUUAUUCCGAUAAGAAACCAAUAGCUCUGCUGCUAGCUUCCUUCCUUGCACAGAAGAGACUCUUCACUCUACACUCCAAGCCUUAAUCAACACACAUCAUUGAGAAAUAAAGAAAAAAGGGAAUCUUACUUCUAGUUUCUCUAUCAAGGUGAUAUGCAGGCUUCAUCUUGGCGUCCUCUGUACAAAAUAAAAUUUUGAAGGGCCACAGACUAACUACGUACGCUAGUGACCUAGCGUGUCACGGGCUUACGGCUCACACAGGUCACACAUUUUCCUGUGAAAGAGCAGAAGAGAAAUUGGUGGUGAUAAUCCAAGUGGCAAUUCUGCUAUUCUCUGGAUAGAACAUCCUGGAGUGCCUUUGUGCCUUUCCCCUUCUGUUUUAUUUUCUAUCAUAUGCAUAUGCAUAACAGGUGCAUGAUUCUGACUUUAAGAGGGAAAAAAAAGGACCCUUCCUAAUGCAGCUAAUUAUGUUAGUCCCAAACUCCCAAUUGCUCAAGAACGAAUAAUAAACUCAACGAUAAGCUUGCUGACGUCUAUGCAGGAAAUUUAUUUUCGCCCUUAUAUAUGAUCUCUUUGUUGGGAUGGAGCCAUGAAAAUUCUGUUGGUUUCCCGCCCUGUUUUGUUGAGAUAGGCCAGCUCUACUAGAUUUAUAAUCUUUACUUGAACAAGAAGACUAAAUAUUCUUGGAAGAGAAGCCGUGAGCAUCCAAAUUGUAGGAGCAGAUGCAUGCAACUUAUUCUUUUUAUCAAAUUACUAAUUUCAGGAAUUUGUGCUAUCAUGGACGGUACUAAUAAAAUGUUGGCAAUACAAAAAUGUUUACCAGCGACAAAAUGUCAGUAUCCCCACAGAGAAACACUAGUUACAAAUAAUAUCCUUUUAUACGUUUGCAUAAACUUAUCCUAGUGAAGUAUAUUUAAAAAAACAUAUUCUAGUAGCACGUACUCUAGGUCCUUGGAUCACACAAUUAUAAAUACUGAGGACACUUCCAGUUCAUGACAAAUUCUUGUGCACUCAUUCCGAAUACAUGGUGCAAAUGAUCCUAAAAAUUGAUGAAAUAAUUUGACAAAGUCGAUGUAUCAUUUUAAAUAUUUUGAAAUCGACGUGCACAAGCCCAAGACAAGCAAUUUUAGUUUGUUAUUUUGAAUUUAUUUAUAAAUAUUUUUCCCCCUCUAGGCCUCUACUGAACAAAUUUAGACCCUUUUUUUUCUAGGUAGAUAUGCAUAUUCGGAAUUGAUCAUCCACCGCCCACUAAACAGAAAACACAAACUAUAUGAAAGCAGGCCCUACGAACACAUUCUUUUCAUCUCAACCACAAACGAUGUAGUACAAAUUUAGAGGGGAAAUAAAUCUUAAAACCGCAUGAAACGCAAAUUUCGUUUAGCAGGUCAACAACCAAAAACCGUCUCCUCUGCUCUGUAUAAAAGCCACCCACAAAACCCCCACGAAACUUGUCCCCCAAACAACCCCAUCCCCAAGAAACUAAACCUCAUCCCCGCCCCCACCCAUGUCCGACCACCACCACCUCACCGGCGACCACCACCCCUCCCCGGCGAGCGCCGCCACCACCGCUCUAGGUCCCCUGCUCCUCCUCCCGUCGGAGCUCCUCCACGACAUCCUCAUCCGCCUCGCCCUCCCGGAGCUCCUCCGCGUCCGCUCCGUCGCGCGCCCGCUCUCCCACGUCAUCUCCUCCCCGGACUUCCGCCGCCUGUACCACCUCUCCUCCGCCGCCUCCGGGCCAGGCCCCGCGGCCGCGUGGCUCCUCGUCUUCAAGAAGCUCCGCCCCCGCGACGCCGCGCUCCGGGGGUUCCAUGGGCCGUCCGGCCGCUGGUUCCGCAUCCCCGUCUCCGCCAUCCUCGCGCCCGCGGUGCCACCCGGCGAGGACCUCUACUUCCUGGCCGCGUCCGGCAGCUCCUUCCUCUUCGCCGCCAACGGCCGCCGCGAGCUCGUCGUCGUCGACCUCUCGGCGCACGCCGCCCGCCGCCUCCCGCCGUCCCCGCUCGGCCCCCGCGGCACCUCCUCCUGGCGCCGCUUCGGCCUCAAGCUCGUCGCCGAUCCCCCCGGGUCGAGCCAGUUUAGGUACCCGUCUUUUUCUCGCCCGAGGAUUCUGGAAAUCUUCCAAAUAGUAAUUACGUAAUUAAUUACUGUUACGUAUUACUCCACUCCACUACUACUACUGUGCAUUGCUGAAGAACAGUCAAACUCAAUUGUUAAUUGGUUGAUUACUGUUAACUUACAAGGUUUCUGUUCGCUGAGCUGGUGAACAACACGCCACUCCUCUUCGAGUACCAGUCCGAGACGGACACGUGGCAGUCAUCGGAGGCGGUCCAGGCGGAGGGGGCGUCGACGGCGGCCGGGACGGAGGGGACGUUCCUGUGCGCGGCGCACGCCGGGCCGGACUGCGUGAUGGUGUACUCCGGGCCGGGCGUGGAGCGGCCGGUCUUCUUCCGGCCGCGGUUCCCGCACAACCCGAACGGCGGCGGCGACAGGCUCCACGUGUACGGCGACGGGAGCGCCGCGGUGGUCCGGUCGACGGUGAUCGACGAGCCGGGCAGGCCGCGGGUGAAGGUGGUGGCCGGCGUGGACCUGUACGGGUUCGGGUCGGUCGUCGGCGGCGACUGGCAGCUGGCCUCCACCGUGCCGGGCGAGCUGGUGGAGGGGUUCCGGAAGCCGUACGCCGUGAUGACCGGGCUGCUGUCGGAGCGGGAGGGCGUGGUCCGGCUCGUCCUCAUCUCCAACUGCCGUGGCGCCUGGGACAUCGUGUGGCUGUCGUACGACCGCGCCCGCGGCGAGUGGUGGUGGGUGCCCGUGCCGGACUGGGGCACCAAGGGGCUCAACGUGGCCGGAAUCGCCGUCUCCUCCACCUUCUCCCGCCUCUGGCCGCCGGCCGCCGCCUCGUCCUGCACCACCACCACCUCCCAGUGAACCGAACUCGCCGGCGUCUCUGCGUCACCGUGCGGCUUACGGCGAGCGGUGGGGAAUUGGAUUGUUAGGCCCAACGUGGCAAUGGGCCCCGCACCCGUGUAAGUGGUGGGCCUCCUCCCCCGUGCCCGUGGGGCCGUCGCAUAAUGCGACAUGAUCUUGCACAAUGGCUUCUCCGAUGGCGACAAAUCGUCGAGUGCGAGUGAGUGUGCUUCAGAUAAGGAGGGGUGUACUGGCGUGCGUGCAAGCACUCUUCUCUAUAGUUCUCUUUUAGUAUCACUGUUCAUUGUUCAUAAGCCGUGUGAGUGUAGCUUUGUGUUCAUCUUCUCGUAAACCAAGUAAAAAGGGCAGGCUGGUACUCUGUUCUCGAUUAGUUGCAGAACUCCAUCCAGGUGUGGCUUUUAUGUGACAGUUUUGCAGCCGUAAAAGAUUACGGAUUACCUUAUCUUAAACGCAGUUGCAGAUCGGGUAGAAUACUUGUUCUCUCACAACACAUCAUUCUUAUGUCAGAGGAAGGUGGUUUCUGGACAGUUUGAUGCCUGUUUUGUUGACGUGUCCGCUUAAUUGCUUUGGUCAAGUCUAUGAUGCUUCUGUUGUUGCAGAGUACUGAGAACGACUAAUGGGAGAAAAUUGAUCACAUGCUUCUGUACUGGCAAACGAGAAAGCGUAGGUAGAAUAGGAGAGUUUUGGACCUGAAUUUAGGUGAUCUGUCCACGUCGAGUUACUGCAUUUACCUUUUACUAGCUUUUGCCCUAAAGAAGAAUGGCUCACAAAGUUUCUAAGAUACAUUAGGCGGCUAGGCUUCAUCCGCACGGAUUUAUGCACAAACGGAUGGACCAAACACUCGUUAAAAACAAGGCUCAGCAUCAGAAUUGCAAAAUUCCAACGGAGUGAACGAGCAAGCGGGCUCACAUAAGGCAUGGAUCGUACUAAACAGCAGGCAACGAUGAGAAUCUAAAUCUAACUAGUACGGAGUAUCUCUAGGAAUUUGGCGACAAAAUCAACCAAUACGUCCGGCAAGUGUUGCAGACUUGCAGCCGAGCAACCGAUGGAUGGAUUGCUCAUGUACAUCAGUAUCAUGCAUCUGCUGAACCGGCACAAAAAAGACGGACUCACAUGCAUCUGGUAUUUUGGCCUCUCGGCUGGCCAGUCAUUAGUCAUCACUGGGCUUCGGACUUCAGAAUUCUUCUCAUGUCAUAGUCAAAUAGGAAAGGAAGUGAGAAUGGAUGGAUGAUAAGUUUGAUGUGAUCCGGUACUUGAAAUGGCAGACACAGAAUCCGCCCUAGAUCACUUGGUGCGUGGUUAGCAAUAAGAUUGGAGAAUUACCAUAAAAAAUAUUAGUAUAAGCCCUGGAAUCAAUAUAAGUGAUAUUUGCUGGAAUAGUGAUCUUAUUCCCUUUGAGCUCUCAGCCAUUGCUUGUUUGAUCCUGCCAUAGCCUGUUAUGACAUCAUUUCAGUUAAUUAGAGCAAUGGGAUAACAAGAGCUUACCAAUUGACAUGGCCCACUUCAAUAGGCAAGCAAAAUCCAUUCACAAGGAAAAUUUUGCAAGGCGUGGGAAACCUAUUCAUUCAUUCUCCCUGCCAGAACGGUUGAAUUUCCACAAUGGCGUUCAGUGCACUUGUCAAAAUUUGCAUACGUUACAAACAAAAUAAACAGGCAGCUUGAUUCUGCGCACUGUUACAAACUUGAGAAACCGUGAAUUGUUUCAUCACCAUUAUUUCUACCCACUGCAAUCAUUCUCCUACCUAUCGAUUGACUUUGUCAAAGAAAGAUGAAUCUAAUUACUUGGAGAUGAGUUUGAUGGUGAACUCUCAGUUGCAGUAGCUUCGCUCUCUAUAGUGCCGUUUGUGUGCUCCACCAAUACAUCAGCCUCAGGAGCCUUGAGCAGGGAAGGAUCUACCUUCUCUUUUGCAGACAUAUCCCUUUUGAGAUCUUCCUUAGCCAAGCUAGAGAAUUGCUUGUCUAGUGAACUUGCCGCGCCUAGCCAUGCUAGAACAAUCACCAACAGUAUGCCACCAAGGUAGGGGGUGGAGUUAGCUAAAGAGCCAAAUGUAAGGAUCAUGAACUGUUGAAUAAGAGCUCCACCAGACUUCCCCAAUGGGUUGCAGACAACAUCAAUGGCUGCCUUUCCCUUCACCUGCAAACAGAGGAAGCAGAGUUGGCUUCUGCAGCAUAAUUGGUGGUGCAAACUCGCCCUAGUGCUUUGUACAAAGCCCACAACAUCAAACUUUAUGGAUAGAGAACUGACAUUCAGUUCAAACUGCUCAAUUGCUCAUGCCAAUGGAUUGCACUUAUUGGUGUAACUAAAGCAAAUAUGAUGCAAUGAAUGGAAGCAGGUAAACACAGGCAAUGUUAUCUUACAACUACAGGAUCAAGACAGAAGCUUUAAAUUACUUAACAGAUACUAGUUCAUCAAGAAUUGCUAGAUAAUUUCUAAAUGAUGCACAUGGGAUAUGCAUAUAUGAAGCAACAAACUGCUUAAAUGAAUCACGAGAGUAUACAAAGCAGAAUAAUGCGCAAAAAUAUUUUUAAAUGUUCAUCGUCGAAUCACAUGAAUAAAUAUGCAAUCUGGUAUAGAAGCAAACCUUCAUAUCUUCAUCCAAAGGAAUGUAGGCCAUUUCUUUGCAUGGAUCAAAUAAACUAUACUUUGCACUCUUGCUGAAUAUGUUCUGAAGUGCACCCACAUAAACUGCUGCAAGAAGAGGGGUCAUGCCCAUUGUGGCAAGCAUAGGAGUGAGAGGCUGCCCAAAUAGAAUCAGGGAGAAGAAACCGACGCCAGUCAGCAACAAAACUGUGGGGGUGAUCAUUGCAGCCACUCCCCAGCCGAAUUUUCGGAGUAUGAUCCGGCCUAACAGCAUCAUUGUGAAAGUAGCAAUGCCAGUAGCGGUUGAGAAAUCACCCAUGAAAGAUGAAUACUCAUUUGGACUAGGGAACUGCCAUGAUGAAGAAAGAAAUACUUAAUUAGAAAAACUGUUUGACAAAUUAAUCUGAAGAUGAAACAAACAAAGCUGAGAAAGUUACCUGUGCCUUGAGCUUCGAUUUCCAUGUGACCUCCACAAGGUUGAUACUGAUGCCAUAUGCAACCACUAAAGUAGCAAGGUCCCUUACAUAUCUUGAGGAGAGGAGAACUUUAAGACUCUCUUUCAUUCCAAGCUUAGGUUUAUCCUGUUGAAAAAAAACGUUAGUGCAUUAUUUGUAGUAGUAGUAGUAAAAAAAAAAAAGAAGCACAUUUAACUAUUCGGCUGACCUUUUUCUUCUUACGGUCAGACUUCGGAAGAGAAGGAUCAUUCAAAACAAACUUGUUCACCCCCCAAUAGAUGGAAGUGAUGACAAGUCCAAGAAGCACCACUAAGCUCAUCAUUCCUUUCAAAGACACCUCCCAUCCGUCAAUACCUGGACCCAAUGUCUUGCGCAGAUUUGAGAAAUACUUCACAGUACGCCCAGAAAAGAUGAGCGCAAUAUUAGCCCCAAGACCAAAUAGAGGGUAGAAUUCUUUUGCUUCCUCAACUGUAGUAAUCUGCAGAAGGAUGGAUGAAAUCAGUUGUAGCCUGAAGGGUCACCAUUUGAUGGGAAGUUCAGAAAAUAUUAAACAGGUAUAUACAACCAAACGUCAGACAACACUAGAAAACCCCAUCCAGCUUGCAACCAAUUGACAGUUAUACACCUCUGGUCAAGCUUCGUGAACAACAAAAAACAACCACUGUGAACUCUGCAUAACUGAGGACAUUGAUCACCUACCAUUCAGAUGUAAUUCUGAAAUCAAAUAGCUGAGGACACACGUGUUAUUCGGAUGCACCAACAUUACUCAUUCAGGCAUGACCAACAGCCCACAAAGCCACUCUGGCAAAUGGCCCAGAAAAAAAAAACUCUAUAUCCCCUAUGCAGAAUUAUUCAGUCAGAGAGUUGACACAAUCUAUUCCACCGUCUUCUCUCAGAUAGAUAUAAGAGAGAAGUUCAAACAUUUGUACUUGUGAAAUAAUGCCAUUCUAUCACCUAGAUUGUCUUGAAUUAUUAUCAGCUAGCUACUCAUGGUUGUGUAGAGUAUCCCUAUCUCCUGAAAAGCUUGUUUCUGUCUUUGUUUUCUCUUAUUUUAAAUCUUGCCCUAAGUAUUUCUUCCCCCUCUUGAACUUCCAGCAAGGAUCCUCCCUACUGUUUCACACAAAUGAAAUGUAUGUAUAAAACUAUCCAAUAUAAGCAUUCAGGCAUUCCUUUGUGGGAAGAAAAGUAGCCAUAAUAUGGCCACAUGUUAUGUUAAAGGCUGCAGCUUGUUUGGUUUGGUAGUACCAAAAUUGGCUAGGGUUUCAUCUGCAACUCUGGCCCUCAAAACAAACAGGCCCACAUCAAUCAACAUUACUUAUUGCAAAAGCAGUUAAAAAGUGUGAACCAUAUCCAGGCAAGUGGUUGUAAAAGAACGCAUAUCACAACAAAAAUGCAACUUAACCAACUAAAUAUAAUUCAGAUUAACAAAAGCUAGCAAAGUAGCAAUCAUGAAGUUGAAGGCAUUCAUGCCAGAAAGCAACAAGCACCUAGACUUAGCCAAUAGGUUUGACAAUACACUGAGCAAUACUACUAAAUACUAAUCAAACCAACGUUUCUGUAACUACCCAUUAUCCCAAGAGCACAUCCUAAUUUCUGACGGAGUGACAGAAACCCAACAACAAACUCUGCUCCUUCAUGUUUUGCUCUCCACAGCCAAACAUCAGGUUAAACAUUAGCUAAUGAGAUGGCCAUCAAUUUUUGACUGAAAAUAGACAAUAAAUUGACAUUUGCACAUGCCUAGAUUGACCACAAAAAUCCAAACCCAUGACUCACCUGGUUAGCGAAGCCCCAGAAGAGGACCGAGAUGACGACGCUGCCCCACAGUUCGGCCAUGACAUAGAACAAGCAAAAGCUCCAAAUCCUCAGAAUGGCGACGGGGCCAAGAAAGCUCGGGCCGAGCGCCGCAAGGAGCUUGUCGGCGAGCGCGGUGGGGUGGAUCACAUUCCUGAGAGGGUAGAGCACGAAGGCAAAGGCGCCGAAGAAGGCGAUGAAGGGGAAGAUGACGGUGUAGAAGAGCGCCUCCCUGGAGAGCACAUUGGAGAGCUUGGUGUAGAGGAGCAUGAAGCCGAUGGCCAUGGGCAGGUUGACCCACGUCUUGAGGAACGGGAUGAUCUCCGCGCUGCUCCCCUUGGCGGUCACCACCAGCACGUCCUUGGUGUCCCGCAGGAUCGUGUAGUUGAACAAGAUGCAGAAGAACAUCAACCCGAGCGGCACGAUCUUCUUCAGCGUCUUCACCUCCACGCCGAGGAACUUCUUCCCCUCCGGCUGCGCCGCCGGCACCGCCCCCGCCGCCGCCGCCGCGGCAGGCUGCGCGCCGCAAGAGACCCCACCACCACCACCACCACUAGCGCCGCUCCUCCGUCUCAAGAGCCCGCACCCCAAUCCCAACCCCACGACGGCGUCCCGCGAGGUAGGGCCGCUUCUCGAAGCGAGGAGGAGCGGGGACUGGAGCGAUACGGGGGCCGCCGGGGAGGAGGGGAGGGAGACGCGCGCGGAUCGCGCGCGCGGGAGCGGGAGGCGGAGCCCCGCGCGGGGAGGGAGGCCGCCGGGCUUGGCGUGGAGGAGCGCGAGCGACUCCAUGGGCGGCGCCGCUGCUCUCCGGGCUCCGCGAGACGCGAGGUGGGGGGAGGCGGAGGGAGGGAAAGGAGGAGGAGGAGGAGUAGGUCGGGGGGAACUUUGGGAGUAAUAAAAGAUCGCGCACUGACCAAGCCCCGGCGGGAUCGGCCGUCGGUUCGCGAGGCGGACGACGAUCCUGGCCGUUGGCUUGGGUACUGGGGUUGGUGGGGGUGCGUGGAACGAGACAGCCGCCGCCCGCCCUACGCAGUCAGCGGCGCCGUGGCUCGCCGGGUGUUUUGUAGGAGUAACUCAUUCCCUUUUUGUUUCUGUGCGUUAGAGGAGUUUGUUUACAAACUUCCAUGUUAAAUCUCCUCUAUUUUUAUUUAUUUUGGUUGAAACUUGAAAAACAUGAAGUGGUAACAUAUUUUCUCUCAAUCGAAAACUGAGGUUUUAAAUCAAAUGAAGACCACCCUUCUGUCCUUCUGUGGCUGUGUUUGCAACUCUCUUUUCCCAGCCCCUCUCCAUCGUUUUUCGCGCGCACGCUUUUCAAAUUGCUAAACGGUGUGUUUUUUAAAAAAAUUUAUAUAUGAAAGUUGUUUUAAAAAAUCAAAUUAAUCUAUUUUUUUAAAAAAAAUUAGCUUAUAUUUAAUUAAUCAUACGCUAAUGAAUCGCUCCGUUUUCCGUGCGGAGGGAAUAUGUUCCUAUCCACCUUAUGCGAACACAGCCUAAAGAGGCAUGAGGGUAUUUUGGACAGGUACAACAAACUUCACUACCCAAAAUACCCUCAUUUGAAGUAUCAUUUGUGGAGAUAUUGUGUAUUUGUGUUUAAAGAAUUUUGGGUAAUACAAUGAACCUUUGAAGUAUCAUUUGUGGAGAUAUAUUGUGUUUAAACUAUAAUAGACUAUAGGACAAUCAUUUCAUUUUAUACUCCUCAGAUCGUAAAAUAAUGGAAAAAAUUAUUGCUUUCCGGAGGAUUUUUUUUAUAACUAGUAGUAUAUUAAUUUGAUCACUAAAUUGUAUAUUUACACAUAUACUCCAUCCGUUUCACAAUGUAAGUUAUUCUAACAUUUUUCACAUUCACAUUGAAGAAAGUACAUGAGAAAUGGCAUAUAAGUGUAAUAAUAUUAUGAAAGGACUGAAACUUGCUCAGCAUUUGAUUGCACAUCAUUCAUUAAUUAGGUGAUCUAGCUUUCUGAUCGAUCAACUAGCCCAAAACUAAUAUAAUGAAAUUUAAUUUCAUUAUGCAUAAUGAGAGCGACAUGCAUGGUCCGACGGUCUGUUGGUCCAUACGAAUCAACAAUUCAUGAAUCAUUUGUUGAAUCCAGAUCAUUAUUUUUUUUUGUUGAAUCCAGAUCAUAUGAAACUACAAUCACUAGUAACCAUAGUUUUGUUUUUUUGUUGAAACAGUAUACGGUAGAAGUUCUACUGGAUAUAUUAGAAGAAGAGAGUUGACUCUAUUUAUAAGGGAAACCGGGAUCGAAAACCAUACAACUGCACGGUUUGCUAAGAGAAAACCGACAAAACCUUACACAGAAGACACAGAAAACCUGUGACAAAACUACGAACCACAUAAGUAACCGAGAGAGUAGCAAGACCUUCAAGACGAAGCCUCCAAAGAGGUGAACAACGACAGAAGCUCCUGCCGACACCUGCCCAUAGCUAGACUGGGUUUUCACCUAAGGGAGGAGACCAACCAUAGUUUUGUAGGACUAGUUAAAUCUAACCUUCGGUAGUUGACUACUCUUUUACUCCAACCAGCUUUUAAAGAUAAAUCUGAAUAAAUACUUGUAUAAAUUUAUACCUUAAAAAUUAAUAUUUUUUUAACGGAGGAACAGAGGUUGUACACGCAUCAUCAUUCAACAGAUGAGCUACUACGCAGUAUAAGAACUCAAGAAGUAGCAGUGCAGUACUAGAACAAAUUAAUUAAGGUUCAAGUCAUGGGGUUUCCGUUUCCUCGUCUCAUGAGAUCUUGUUUUGGACCUUUGAGGCGUACGUCGUUUUCAGAAAACGUUCUAAUUCGCUUCACGUAUUUGACCACACGGGCUCGUUUUUUUUUCAAGUCAAAAUAGCUAGCCUAGUACGACUGCGUUGCUCCCUGUCCGAUUCACCUGUUUCUGAUUCCACUCGACAUUGCCCACAAGAUCCUUCUCCAGACCUUCCCGCCAACCACCCUACUUUUAUGCAACGUGUUAAAUUUUGCUAAAGCAGUUUUUUUUAUCAUUUUUCAUCCAAAUAUUUUUUUUGUUAGCUUUCAUCAGUCAUUUAAAAGUGCAUAUAUAGUAAAAAAAAUAAAACAUAUUAAUUCUCCAAUACUCAGGUUUUUCUUGCAAAGAUUUACAGAAAAAAUAUUUUUUUAUUUUCUUCAUUUUUAUUGUAUAUAAGGCAUUAAGGCUUACCUAGAUUUAGUUUGUUUUCUACUAGUUAUGCAUGGAUUAUUUUGUUUUAUAGGUGUUAAAUCCCCCCAUUUGCACUUAUCUUAAAGUAAGAGUAGUUAGUUGAUUGAUUAUUUGUUCUUGGGUAGCCAAACAACAGACAAACGGUGUACACUGACCAUGGAAGGUAAAAGAACUUGUGAAUCAAGGUUGACAAAAUUCCAGUUAUGUAAGUAAUAGACUCUUAUAUUAAGGGAAAUUAAUAUACAUCAUCACAAACAAAGUAAUUAACCUAAAAAUAAUAAAAUAUUGAAAUGCAUGCCAUCAUGUCAUUUACCAACUUGACGGUAAGAAUCAUAUGACCUUGAUAUUCAUCUUGUACAAUUAAACCUUUUCAAUAUGUUUUCUUUUGAGAACCAGAAUUUUCAAUAUGUCAUUUACCAACUUGACAGUAAGAAAUCAUAUGUUUUCAAUAUGUCAUAUGAACCCUUUCAACUUGUGCCAAAAUAAUAUAUCCUUUUUUAUUUUGGAAAAUGAAGAUAAAAUAUGUUUAUUCCUAUAUAUAUCUUAUGUAUUAGAAUAUUUCUUGUUGUUUCUUCGUGAUAGCCAGGCGCCUGAGAAGCAGAGAUUAUAGUUUAGGCAUAAAAGACCAGAAUGUAUAUUGGUCUAAUAACAAGGGCCGGCAAUACAAACUUGGUAUAAAAUCGUAUGAUACGGAAGUCUCUCACGUAUACGGUUCCUUGGAAAGAAAGAAGCUACCAAUUGGACUUUCACCAAAUGUAUAUAUAUUUGUAGCUCGAAGUUUCCUUUUAAGUAUAUGUUGUCUACCUGCUGAAAUAUUAACACCUAAAUCUUGCUGGUCUGUGAAAUAUACAUUUAUUGUCAUCACAUUAUUACAUUUCUUUAUAUGUGCAUCAACUACAUAUGCAUCUCCACAAAAGGCCCAUUUAAUUCCAUUUUCCAAUAGCCCAAGUAAAUUUCCUUGGACUGGAUAUUGGACCUUCAAAGUUCUUGCAUGAUACAUUUGGGAUAGCAAUGGAGUUAUAGAAAUCACUUUUCAUCUCUGAUCAUUUAGGGCCCGUUUGGUUUAUCAACAAAGGCUAGCAUAGCCUUACCUAGGAAGGCUAGUUGUCUGGAACCGGUAAAAAAAAACUUGCUUUUAGGAGCGAACUAACCUUGCAAGGUGAGAAAAAUCUCGCUGGUCAGGGAGAACCGAUUCAGCUCGCCUUUGAUGGCAAAACCCCAAGCGCACACAAAAAAAGAAAGCUCUAUUCACAUGAAAAAUUGAGAUAAGAUGAGAGCGGUCCGGGCUUCUUCGAAAUCAGAGAUAUUUUUCAACAACUUGCCCCAAUCUCAUCGGCCUCUUCCCCCACCUUUUGUUGGUGAAGUCUUUCGCUGAAAUCAUCCUCUCCCACCUACCCAUAAGCCGCAGUCACCUGGAAACUAUCUCCUUACAAUAGUGAGACAACAGGGUAUCUAAUCGUACCGAAAUAAUUGUUUAUUACUUUUUUUUCUUUUUCUUUACUUCCAUGUAAUAAAAUUUCUUUAAUAAAUGUUAAGAGUUAAUUUUGAGUCGAUGUCAUGCAAAGUAACGAUGGUUGCUUUUCCUCCAUUCUCUUUCUUCCACAUCACCAAAAUUAUUUACAUGCAUGGUAACAAAGAGCUUGUUACUAAACACUGUUAUACAUGCCCUAAUAACCGUAGUGAACUAUUACCAUCACAGAGUUGAUAUUACAACGACAUCCUUACCCUUCUCUUCCUCUCAUGCACCAAUAGAUGGUGCAUCAAUGUGAGGACGCUAUGUGAGGGAAACGUGUUUUAGACUCUUGAGAAGAUAUCCCCUCUUUUGUUCAAGCACUAUCUAAAUGAUUGUUAAAAAAUCUCAAGAAAAUGACAACAUUCACAACACAUAUAUAAACUUCUCAAAAGAAAAAAAGAAGUCAAAACUCAACUUUGACGGAAUGAUAGAUGUUACAAAACUCUACAUUAUCAAUAUUUUUUUAGAGUUCUUCAAAAACUACUUACAUUGAAAUUGAGAGAAAAACUUAGACGAGGGGGACAUCCCCUCCUCAAGGGAUUAGAAUUCUCUCACACAUUAAAAUUGAGAGAAAAAGUUAGACGAGGGGAACAUCCCCUGCCCCCUCGAGGGAUUAGAAUCCUCUCCCGCUAUGUGAGCUUAGAGCUCAAUGACAACUCCAAAUGAAGAACGUACUCACAAAAGAUCGAGGGAAAUUUCAAUACAAUCCACUUCAAAACAUCAACCCAAAUUAUAAAAAUGUCACUGCAAAAAGCAUAGCGAUCGACCUUACCGUUGGUUUGUCUAUAUUAAGCAUUUCCAUGCAUCCAAGUCCAUUCGAUCUCGUUAAUGGAAAGCUGGAGUUGUACUUCAAUUAUCCAAAAAUACUAAGCAUUUCCUAGAUACACAUUUUGAUGCAAGCCCUCACACAAUCUCUGUUACAGUUUUGUUGAUUUUUGAUUCCAUCUGCUAGAAUCAGAAAAGGGGAUGCAGUUCUUCUGAUGUACAAUUGACUGAUACGAUUGCACCAUCUCUUAAUUUACAAUUAAAUCUGCCACUCAUAUAAUUGCAUUCAACUGAUGCAAAUAUGAACGAUUGCAUAAAAGUGUGUUAACAUGCAUGCAAAAACAGUAUGGUGUGCCAAUAUAAUUAAUGUGCAAACAGUGGCAUGAAAACCAUAGUGCAUGAUAUAUAUAUAUAUAUAUAUAUAUAUAUAUAGCUAUUUCUAAAGUGUGCACACUACCAACAGAAUCUUAUACUGAUAUCAAGCUGGCCUAAAAGAACCAUUAUAAAACCACGAGGCAAAGUUUAGACAGUAUCAACAUUAAUUAGAAAACCAAAGUUUAGAUAUGCAUAUGGGGUGCGUGUGUAUCAUCCAAAUAUGUCUUUCAAGUAAAAAUACAACACGAGAAACUGAUAGCCUAGAGUGGUAGCAUUUCUAUCAGUAUCAGAUUCAAAUUAACUAGACAGAAGGGAAUUGCACCAGAUUGAAAGCAUAGCUAUAGCUAGCAGCAUGCGUAGUUGCGUACAGUACGUGAUCCGGCCAGCUCCUGGGUCUCCAGGGUGCAUAUAUCAUGCAAACAAAUAAGUAGUCAAGUGCGUAGAUAUCAGUUUAAUUUAUUGCAACGGAGAUCAACAACCACAGUACAUGCGCCCUGCUAGGCUGCUACCUGCUAGCGACUUGACUAACUGCUUCUGUAUUAUGUGCAUAUAUAUAGCUUGCAGCGCAGUUUGCCUAUCGGCACGAUGACCUCUAGCUUCCCGGUACAAAAACCACACACUUUGUACUGCCUCAUAGCUUAGACUACGGUUACUCGGGGAGGUACAUAUAUAUAUUAGUAGAAGCUAAUUACCAUAAACUGAUACUUAAUUAAGUGAGUACCUACUUGCGUGCGACCAAAUAAGUAGCAUAUAUAUGCAGUGGCAACUCUAUUAAGACAGUACUACAGCAUGUCAGCAUGACUUCGUAGCUGCUAAUUAAUCUUCAGGUACCAUGCACACUAGCUACUACAUUAGCUAGCUCUUCUUUCACCCGACGACGACGACUCAGGCGGCAGGCGCGCAGUCAUAGUCGUCGUCAUCGUCGUCGCCGUCUGUCUCGGCCAUCCUACCCCGCGCACUGCAGCACGGUGCGCCGGCGUAAACCGCAAAGGAGGCAAUAAUGCCGCCGUCUUGGUGGACGAGGGGGCUGGCCUCCGACACCGGCGCCAUGGAAAUUAAGCAGGAGGGGUAUGCUAGCUUUAGCUCGCUCAACACUACUGUGGCUGAUGGGGCUAGCACUCUGGAGGCUCUACCGCUCUAGCUAGUGCGCUGUACUCUAUACCAGCUAGCUAGCUGUGUGGUGGUACUGGUGUGAGAUUUAGCCGCGUGCUGUGCGGGGAUCUUUAUAGCGCGCGGCCGGCGGGGCGGCAAUGUGGCGGCACGCGGCGGCAGGCGCCGGGAGCGUGCGUCGGCGUGCGUGACGUCCCGCGGCACGCGUCCCGGGCGAGCACACCCGGCCGCGGGGGCGUGGCGCCCCACGGCCGCGUGCCUCUGACAGGUGAGCGCCCCCGGUGGGGGGAGGGGACCCCGCGCAUCCGACGUGCCAGCCCGGACGCUGCGUCCGCGGGGUGAGGUGGUGGCCGGCGCCUCGGUGGCGCGCGAGAAUGACACAGGAAACGAGAGGACAGCAAGCGAUGGGGGGGAGAGAGGGGGGGGGGGGGGGGGGGGGGGAGGGGAGGGGAGGGGCAAAAGCUAGCGCGUCGCUCAUCAUCCGCUACGCGCAGCGGGGUCCUUUUCGUGGGCAUCUUGGGGUGAUAUUUCGGUGUGAUAGCUGCAGACAUAUUCGGCUGAGUCCUGUAGUGUGGCAUUCGCCCAGCAAAGUGCGAUAUGCGGCGAUUUGUCGAUUUUACGUGUUGUUUGGAUGGAUACUAACUUUAUCAUAACUCUAUUUAUCAUAACUAUGAUAAGCCACACAAAAUGUAGUGAAUAAAUUAUUGGUUAUAACUAUAGCAAACUUUGGCUAGAAAAUAAGAGUAUGACGUGUGGACCAAUGUGCUAGUAAAGUGUGGCUUAACUCAACUAAACACUACCCUAAGAAAUUAUGGUGUGCCUAAGGUUUGGUGUUGUAAACCGCUGUCACUAUCCAAACAGCCCCUAAGACAAACGUUGGGUGCUCGAUUAGUAUAGACAAAGACGAUUAGUAUUGUUAAGUAGGUAAAUGGCGAAAUAAUAUAAUAGUACCACGUGCACGUAUACAGUUGAUUAUUGGUAAGUAAUGUCAUGAUCAGUACUGUAUCUUUGACUUACUUAGUCUUCUAUACUAUACAAAUCAUGGUCAUAGAAAGCUGCUACCCCUUUCGAUUAGCUAUCUUACAGUACAUAGGUAGUGUACAGUUCUAUCGAAAGGUUCCUAUCUUUUGUUUGUAUGAAAUUUCAUAGCCCUAGCUACCUUUUCUACCAACCGUCAGAAAAAAGAAUUCUUAAAUUUAAAUUUAAAGGAAAUUCAACUUUUUCUCAUCGUCUUUUAAAUACCACCCUAUGAAGGACUUAAUUAGGAUUUUUUUUGCCAAUGAGUCAUACAUGAGCUCUCCCAUGACAUUUUAGGACGCCACAUCGUAGGGCUGACGUGUCACCUGACCGUGUUGCCUUGCCACCUUUGUUCUUUUCUCCAUUGGUGGCGCCAUUGCCACUGCCAUCCUCUUCUCCAUGAGUGGUGGCAGAGGAGAGGGAGGUGGGGAGGGAGCUACAGCGGCGGCUGACGACAAGAACGAGGUUGGCACUAGUAUCAGUGGCUUGGACUUGAGCGACGGCCAAGACACCAUUGUCCAUGCUCGAUCUAGGCAUCGCCGCCAGCUUUCAGGCACUAGCUUGAGAAGGCAACACCCAGGCAAGCUCACAUCCACAUGCAAAGGAGCUCGAGCAAGUAAAGGGUGAGGUCGCGUGGGCGAUGGAUCUGAAGCAAGUGGCGACGACACUACCUCAUGCAACCAACAUCAGAGGAGGAGCUCAUGGUAAUCGUAGGACUAGCUCCGGCUCACCACAUUGGAUUCGCAACUCCACCUCAACUGAGGUUGUGAUCUCACUGGGCUCCUCACACGUUGUAGAGGGUACAGGUGCCCCGACAAGCCUGAGGUCACUUGAUGGUGGAGCCAUGGUCACCAGCCGUGAGAGACAUGUCUCUCGUGCAACGCGUGCAGCCCUCCCCUCCCCCUUCACGUUAUUUGUUGGUGAGGCAUCUAGACAAUGGGAGGUAGAUCUGAAGACCAGAGAGACAGGUCUAGAAGGAACAUACCAGGAAGACCCCUAUUGUCGCCAUCACUGGCGGGUGAGAUCGCUGGCCAGACACACCCCUGAUCCACAUGCCACCCUGCCGAGCUUCUUCUACGCCAGAUCUAGAAGGGCAUGGCUGGCUUGGAUCCAACAUCGAUAAAAGAAGAUUGACGCCCACCAUGACUACACAAUGUUGAUUUGCAUUGUUGGAGGGGCUCGGCGGUGGUGCACGAGCAAAUCUAGACGAUGGAGGAGCUCAUAGGCCCAAGCCGUUCAAGAGGGUUAGACGAUGACAUCAUUUUGAAAUGGGACAAGUUCAGUAACCGCUGCUUUUGAUCCACACCCGCCACGAGCUCGUCAUAAUGGCCUAAGAGUAGAGAGGAGGCGGCGGACCUCAUCACCGGGGAGGGAGAGUUGGCCCAUGGGAAGGGAAGAGUGGACAAGUGAGGUCCGAGGAGAGGAGAGUGAAGGGCAAGAGAGAGCUUGUGUUUAAUGUAAGGCUUCUAUCCUAAUUGAAAGAUAUCCUAAUUGAAAGAUAUGAGAACUAAAAUAGAAAGUGUUUUGGGUGGCAUGAAAAAUUGAUGCCACCCUUAGGCGGUUAAACCACUUUGUAGUGUGAGAAGAGCCCAUUUAAACCAUGUGCUUAGCUUAUGUGGUAUUAUACUCCAUUGUGAAUGACCUGAGAGGUAUUGUGCUCGUCACAAUCGUGACGUAUUUUCCAUUCUAUGUUACAUAAAGUCUAUGCAUAUACGAACUGCACAAGUUUCUCGCUGAAAUUAAGCUAGCAAGUGGUUUUGCAUCGAGGCAUACAAGGUACCCCGAUCCGUGGUGACGCAUGGCUGGUUGUGUCAUCGUGCAAUUGGGAAAUGUAUUCGCGCUUUGACAGAACAACUUGCUACAGUGGGGUGGGGUUGAAAGACAAAAAGGUAUUUCUCACUUUUUAGCAUUUCAUUUACCAAUCAAAACGCAGUGGAAAAAGUACGAAUUACCCCCCCCUCGAACUAUCGCGGUCGGCCGAAUUCCCCCCCCCCCCCCGAACCCGAAAACCAGACAUGAUUCACCUUGAACUUUCAAUACCGGACGAAUUACCCCCCUCGACCCAAUCUAGAGCGGUUUUAUCCUACGUGGCGUACGCGUGGCAUCCUAGUCAGCAUUUUCUUUUUUUAAAAGAUUGUGGGGCCCACCUGUCAUACUCUCUCUCUCCUUCCCUUCUCUCUCACUCUCUCUCUCCCUCUCUGCGAGCACGGCAGGCGGCGGCUGUGGUGUGGGAUGGGAGGCAGCGGCAGCGCGGGGCACCGAGGCGGCAGCAGGGUGGGAAGUGGGAUGCGGAGGCAGGGGCAGCUGCGGCGUGGGAUGCGGCGGCGGCGGCAGCAGCGUGGGGUGCGGAGGCAGCGGUGGCGUGGGAAGAGCCGGCGGCGGUGCAGGGAAGGAGAAGGAGGAGGACCGGGCUGUCCCGGCGGAUCCCGACGCCGCCGGGAGGGGGCCGGGUUGUCCCGCGUCCCGCCCUGCCGCCGCCUCCGCGUCCCGCGCCGCCGCGGCCUCCGCAUCCCGCGUCGCCUCCACUCCCCCACUCCAAGCCCACCUCCACGCCAAGAACGUUCACGCACCACCUCGUCGACCUCCUCCACUCGCCGCUCUACCUCCCGCGCCGCCUCACCAUCUCGGACAUCGCGGUGCACCGGUGGUCGAAGCGCACCGCGGUGGCCUCCGCGCUCCUCUCCCCACUCCUCCUUGCCGCCAUCACCGCGCGUCACCACAACAACCACCCUCCAGUCCUCCUCACCAUCUCGCUCGCUGGCGUCCUCCUCGCCGCCGCCGCCGCGGCCACCACGGACGCCGCCUCCCCACCCAAGAGCCGCUCAUCCCGACUCCCAGCGCUCUGGUCGUACGUGCUCGCACGCGAGCUCGUCUCCCUGCUGGUCUCACUACUAGAAAAAUAAUUUAUCGCCACGAAAAAAAAUAGUAGCAUCAAUGCUAAAAUUGUGGCAAUAGAUACACGUUGCUACAAUCUUAAAAUCGUUGCUAGCCGUGGUAAUAAAUAGCAUGGUAAUAGGUUAUUGCAACGAUUUUUAUUUAGUUGUAAUAAAAUUUGAUAUUGCCAUAAAAUGGAUGUGGCAAAAAAAAUAUAUAUUGCAACACGUCACAUGGUUGCAAUAAAUAACUAUUGCUACCACUCCAUGUGUGGCAUUAGUUAUACGUAGCAAAUUAAAUGUUUUCAUAUUAAUUUAUCAUCCUAAUUAUUUUCUUUUGAUAUCUUGUCAUGUCCAGGAUCCGAACCCAAGAUCUCUCCCUCACGCGCGCUCUCUAUGACCAACUCACCUACGCAUCAAUUUUGUUUAAAAAUGCAUACAAUUCCAUUUGAGACUACCUAACUAAGAUUUGAAUCAUGAAUUUGAGUAUUUAAAAUAUUUCAAAUGAAAAUUUUAAGUCGUAGAUCUCAUCGAGAGCUAUAAAUUUCAUAUAAAAUUUGUCCUAAUCCGUGUCCAUAUGAAAAGAAUAAGUCAAAUUACGAGAUGAUAAAUUUUUUAUUGCAACGAAUUUAUUGAUCAUGGCAAUAGAAAAUAGUGAAAAGUACCAUGUACUAUGCAAAUUGCCACAAAAAUUAAAUGUGUGGCGAUAGAACAUGUUUUUUGCAAUAGUAAUGUUUUUUGUGGCGAUAGCUCAUUUCCUAUUGCAACAAAAAUACUGAAUAAAAUAAUGAUUGUAAAUCGUUGCAACAAAGUAUAGUUAUUUGCCACAGAAAAAAUAUCGUUGCGAUAGUAUAAUAUAUUGCCACGAAUUGUUUUUCGUUGUAAUAAAUUGGUGGCGAUAGCUCAAUUCUCUUGUAGUGUCUCCAUCGGCGUGGCGGCCGGCGGGCUGGGCGCGACGGUGCUCGCGUGGGGGAACUCGCGUCCCACGCUACCGCCACGCCGCCUCGGUGUCCCGCGCCGCCACAUCCCACGCCGCAGCCGCUGCCGCCUCCGCAUCCCACGCUGUCGCCGCCGCCGCCUCGGUGUCCCGCACCGCCGCCUGCCGUGCUCGCCGAGAGAGGGGGAGAGAGAGGGGAAGGAGAGAGAGAUAGAGUAUAUGACAGGUGGGUCCCACCAUCUUUUAAAAAAGAAAAUGUUGACUGGGAUGCCACGCGUACGCCACGUAGGAUAAAACUACUCUGGAUUGGGUCGAGGGGGGUAAUUCGUCUGGUAUUAAAAGUUUAGGGUGAAUCAUGUCUAGUUUUCGGGUUCGGGGGGGGGGGAUUCGGUCGACUGCGAUAGUUCGGGGGGUAAUUCGUACUUUUUCCAAACGCAGUUGUGGACUUGUGGUUUGUGGCUUUGUGCUCACCCAUGGAAGACGGGAUACGGGCGAAUAUCACUUUUACUCUGUGUGAAAGGUUGAUGCCGAUGUGUCCGGCCAUAUAAACUUACGCUCUGCGGUGAAACUAAAGAAGGUGGCGAUGGACAGCUAUGUGCAGUCUGCUGUAAAAACUAGAAAACUUUUCAAAGAAACAGCUCUCUAUAUAGUCCAUAAAAAUAAUAUGGCAUUUCAUAGCUCACUGAAAAUGGUGAAAGAAUCAAGAGUUUUUGCAUGAAAAACGAUCAUGGCACAAUAUUUCUGAGAUUCGCAUGUGGAAUUGUGAGGAUGUUCGGCCCUAAUAUCCCCCCGGCCCGAUUAUGGUGUUUAGUGUUCACGUAGAGAAAAGUCCACUUGUCAUCCCUCAUCUUUCUAUCAAGUUUAAUUGACAUCCCCAAACUAUAAUACUAGAAAUCCUCAUUUCCAACUUAUAAAAUCGGGUUAAACUAUGGCCCUGAUAUUUAGAAGUAUUAAACGUAGAUUACUGACAAAACCCAUUCCAUAACCCCUAGGCUAUUUUGCGAGACGAAUCUAACGAGGUAUAUUAAUCCAUGAUUUGCUACAGUGAUGCUACAGUAAUCAGUCGCUAAUCGUGGAUUAAUAUACAUCAUUAGAUUCGUCUCGCAAAAUAGCCUAGGGGUUAUGGAAUCGGUUUUGUCGGUAAUCUACGUUUAAUACUCCUAAAUAACAAGAUUCUAGAGGGCUAUUUAAUAGCUUAGAGGAUCCAAACAAGGCCUAUGUUCUCUGGCAGUACUCAUAAAAAACCAUGUGGGUGGCAUUACUCCGUCAAGGUGACCAGCGACGUCCGUGGCCACGUGCACACUUCAAUUGUUGUGCCAUGUCACAUCAUGCGUGCGUGAUGCAGAGCGGUCCCGACCGUCGCCAUUCCCGCCUUCCUUCCCAUGAGCGCACGAUCAAGCUCGACCUCAUGGGGGCGAACUAUCACUGCACCACCUCCUCCAUAGCCAGCGCCUUGCUCGAGCUCUUUCAUCUUCCACCACGAUGAAGAUCCGGAAUAGCCCCGCCACCACCGGGGGUAGAAGUUUGGCCGCUCCCUGAUGAAUGAGAGGUGGGCGACUUCAGGAACGUCAGGGAGGGCAUAUCCGACGGUGGUAGGUGGUCCUCCCGUCCCUACCGCCAGCCGAUGGCUAGAAGGGUAUAACCGAAGGUAGCACCGGUGUGGCAGGACCACCCAAGGCAGAUGGCGGGGAUGCGAAAGGGAUUGCGGGGGUAGACAUCAGUAUAGGAAGGGAUACCAAGGGCACAUUCGAUGGUGUGCUGGAGGAGGCGACGACUUCGCUAGCGAGGGCAGGGAGGACUUGGAUGGGGUGGGUAGUGGCGGCACCAAGGUGGGAUCUAGGUGCAACUUGCCGGCAUGGAGUUGACAAGGCGAAGAGAAGGGAGGAGAGGAGUAGAGGAAGAAGGUGAGGUGGGCAUUUACAUAUGGCCCCACAUGUUUUUUUAGUUUUCUAUUUAUUUUUUUAAUAUGAUGCCACGUCAACUAGAACCAUCCAUACACACGAUUUUGCUAAGAUGAGAUGAAAGGUGAAGUUUUGUCGUAUUACGGUUUAAAGGAUGCAAAUUAAACUUUACGUAAAGUGGGCUUAUUUCUCACGUUUAUUCCGUGCAACCCAUUCGGCCCAACUUCCACUUGCUCGUGCCGGACGGCCACUGUGCCUCACUGCCCUGUGCUUGUGCCCGUCUGGUUGGUGUGUAGUGCUAUGCUCCCAGCCUCCCACGGUCCCACCAUAUGCUCGCAGUUUUCUUCCAACAACUGAUGGCAUCGGGUGCGGCGGGUGGCAUGCAGUGCAUGGGAACGCAUGCCCACGGUGUUUUCAGUUUUCUCUUCGUGUGUUUGUGUACUCCGCUCUGCCGGCGAAAACAAACAUCCGGAUGUGUUCGGCGUCCCAUCACUGCUCGGUCGGGGUCAAGCAGGGCAGGCCGCCACGAUCGCGGGCGUACGCGACACGGCCCGACGGUCAGGCCGACUCACCGGCCACGCACAGGCACGCCCGGUCCAGCCCCAUGCCGCGCCCAUGUGCCGUCGUCUGACUCGGCCAGGCGCGCAGUCCGGAAGCUGCGCCGAGCUCCACAAAUCCAAUGAUCAUGAUACCGUCCGCGAUGGCGGCGGCGUGGUCUCGUACUCUCGUGACUCUCUCACGGCUUGUGGUUUUACGUGUGUUUAGUAUAACACGCCGCCGUCCACACGGCGUGACUCCCUUCCUGUCAACGCGGUCAGCGGGGACUGGGAGACGGUUAACUAGCGGUGGUGGCG
rnacentral:lncRNA from 1 species